UCGCCAAAUUAAGAGAUACAGGAUGCAUUGUUGGCUCAACCAUUGGUGCAGCUCCUCAUCAAUUUUGUCUAGGUCUCUCUCUCUCUACUCUCGAACACAAUCACUGCUCUGUGAGUUGUCUGGAUGAACAGUUUACGUGGAUUUUUUUAGUUCUUCCCAUGUUUUCCUAGAAAGAUCUCCUCACUCUGUCCUGAUAAUAAAAGUUACUCUGCUCCACCAUUAACUUAACUGAUUAUCCCUUUAUAUUCUUAUUUUGAUGUCUUUGAUCAGGUUUGGAAAAAGUGUCAAAGGGAUUGAACAUUGGCAUUGAAGGUAACCAUUUCGUGGACUGAAACUAUUUUCUUUAUAUCUUAAGCAUUCUAUAAUGCGUGGCUAAGCUAUAACCUUAUAGGCAUGCAUGUUGGUGAAAAGAGAAAACUCACUAUAUACAAAUCAUUGCUGAAAUGCUCUUUUUUAAAACUUUGUUGUGAUUCCAACAAUUAAACAUUUCUCUGCUCUCGUUCCUUUUACACGGAAUAUGUUCAUUUUAAUAGUUUUUAGAAAUUAUAGGUAUAAAUUAUUAUUUUUUUAAAAAAAAUUAAAUACUUUUUACAAAAUCUAUGGUUAAACGUAUGGUGAAACUUUACCCAAAAAUAACUUGUCAAAAAUAUUUGGUAAAAAAGUAGACUAAUUUUUGUGAUGUGACUUGUGUAAUAGAGUGAAUCUAGGCCAUUAGGGUCUCUUCAUCUUAUUCUACAAAAAAGAAAGAAGUGAUACAAUGACAAGUUUUUUAUUUAUAUUGUAUAUGCAACUAUUUUGAGCUUAAUUUUAGUAAUCUAAACCACUAUAUAAAACAAGAUAUCUAUCAAAUGCAAAAACUAAGUUUUUAGAGAUUGUAGGCCACACUUCUGAUUGUAUAAAUGACAACAUUAACACUACCAUCUUGGAAAUUCACUAUCAGCUUGGAUAAGUUUCCAAGAUUCAACUUGGAAAAAGCCGUGUGCAACCACGGCUUUUUCAUGAUGGCUCCCAACCAUUGGGAUCCAUCUACUAAAACCUUUUCUCGUCCUCUACGAUUAGAUGAUUCCAUCAGAUCAGCUCUCACUUUCAUUUCACAGCCUCCAGGAGAGGAUCAUCUUGUCAUUACGGUUUAUGGUGCAACUAUUCUUUCCUCUAAGGAUGAGGGAGCCAUUCAGGUAUGUUCUGUCUCCAUCUCCUCACAAAAAAAAAAAAAAGAACCUGAUGACUUGUUUUCUAUGUAUGUAUAGUCUCAGGUGAAGAGAAUGCUGAGACUCUCUGAUAAGGAUGAACAAGAUGUCACAUAUUUUCAUAAGCUUCAUCCACAUGCUGAGGCCAAAGGAUUUGGUCGGUUGUUUCGAUCACCAACCUUAUUUGAAGAUGUGGCCAAGUCUCUUCUUCUUCGCUUUUGCCCGUAAGUUAAUCAUAUAUUAUAUACAAGCAAUUUGUAAAACUCAAACUUUGAAGUAAACUAAGAUAUAUAGAUUAAAUGAAUCAGGUGGAAGACAUCUUUGGAUCUGGCAAAGGCUCUUUGUGAUGUACAACUGAAAAAAGUCAGAAUGUCGAAAAGAAAGAGAGCAAAUAUUGGAGACUUCCUGAGCCCGAGAGAAUUAGCAAGUUUUAGAGAGGAAGAGCUAAACGACAAAGGGAAAUUUGGAUAUAGAGCAGGGGACUUGAUUAAGUUGGCUAAACAAGUUGCUAAUGGAAAAAUUAAGUUUGAUAGUGCUGAUGAAGGGCACUACUCUAAGUUGAAGAUAAAUGGUGCUGGUCCUUUUACCACUAAUACUAUCAUGAUGUGUAUUGGACACUAUCAUAAUAUUCCAAUUGAUACUGAAACGUUGCGUCAUAUGAAAGAGGUAACAAACUUGUUUCUCUGCAUAUCAUCAAAAAUAACUAACAUUACACAUGGAUCAUUUGCUGAUGGAGGUAAUAGUAUUUCUUAAGUCCUCUUAUGUAUAUUUACAUUUUACUUGUCAUGAUUUCAGUUUCAUGGACUUAAUAUGAGAAAGCGUAAAAAGGGACCAAUUAGUGUGGAAACAAAAGCGAAAAUACAAGAAUUCUACAAGAUUUAUCAUCCAUUUGAGUCUCUGGCUUACUGGUAAGUUACGUUGGGGAUAUCCAUUAUUUUCAUUGAUUAGUAUGUAAUCAUACACUUGAUUUGUUGGUCUUUAGGUUUGAACUUGCCAACUCUUAUGAAAUAAAACUUGGCAAGACAUUAGGUGAGUUAUUACCAUCAGAAUAUCAUCAUGCCACCGGAAGCAAGAAAUGUUAAGGUACGUUAACAUUAUUAAUGUGUGUCCUAUACUUUUUAGCAGUUUCAAAUUUGAAUUAGCAGUAAUUAGCCUAGGUAUCAAUCAUUUAGAAGCCUAGACAUAUAUAGUUGUUACUGCUUUUAUUUUGAAGUAAGUUUUAUAAUAUGUUAAUCGUGUGACUCUAUAUGUUUAUUGGUCUUAAUUAAUUCUUUCUAUGGCUUUGAGCAGAUGUGAUGUGAUGUGAUGUGUGAUGUGUGAUGGAUAGGAUAUUGGAUUGAAAGAAAGAAAAAAACUUCCCUUUCUUUUUCUUCUUUAUUUUGGUUUUAUCCCUCCGAUGAAUUUCGGCUAUGACCAAUGAAUGUUAACGGAGUAUUAGAUUUUGAAAUUGAUGAUCAUGUAUAUAUAGGGUUGAUUAACAACUUUGUUUUUGUUUUUGUUUUUUGUGCGGACUUCACUAUAUCACAUGAUUUCAACUUGAAUCCAUGUUUCUGUCUGUUUGAAAGACUUACAACAGAUUUUUUGCUUAUUGAUCAAUAGAAAAGAAAAAAAAAGGGGUCUGGGUUGGCGCCCCAUAUGUAGAUCUAGCUAACUUGACUUGAGUCACAAGAUAAAAGUAUAUAUACUUUCUUUGAAAUAUUCAAAAUAAUAUGUACCGUAUAAUUUCCAAAAGAAUCUUUGCAGCUAAAAGUAUCCCCCCUUAAAAAGAUUUUAAGGGACAUUUGAAUCUUUAAUAUUGCCAAUGCAUACAUUAAAAUCAUUUGCAUUAUUAAUAUCAUUAGUAAUACACAAUAGAAUGCAAGUAUUAGUUAUAUAUGAUGUUUUGUAAGGCGGAGGCAUGAGGUAAGAUGUUUUACUUAGCACACGGCGUAGAGUAAGCCCCAUGAAUAUUUUAAUUUUAAUUUGUGAUUUAGUAAAAUAAUAUAAUAACACAAAAUUAUAAAAAUACAUCAAUAGUUUGAAAUAAUUAAUGAAACUCAUAGAAAUUAAAACUUCUAACAUUAUUUUACAUGUAAUGAUAUAAAAAUUAUUAUGAGAUGUUAAUCAAUUUUAAUAUCUCUUUCAAAAAAAAUUUAUUAUUUCUAAUAAUUUAUUACUAUAAUACUAUGCAAUUUAUCUUCCUAAAAGAUAUUAGUAAUCAAUAAAAAUAAAACUACUUUUAAAUAGAGAAAUAGUAAAAUAUGAUCAUUUUGAGACACAUUUAUGUUUCUUGAAUAUAAGCUAUAUAUUUUUAUAAAUACCCUCACAUUCAAAGAUGUGCAGUUGCAUUGAUCGAUUUGGACACAACUUCUCCUUUAUGCCAAAAUAUAAGCUAUGACCAAAUUUUAAUCCGACAAACUACCUAAAAUUUAUCUAAACAAUUUUUGAUGGAGCCAUCAAAUUUCAAGUCAUAUAUAUCAUAAAAUUCAUGAUCACCUAAACUAUGACCAAAUUUGAAAAAUAACUAUUUUAAACAUAAUUAAAGAUUAAAAUAACAUGAUUCAGAUUUUUAUUCUCUUUUAAUAACUAUCCCAUGAGCACAAAACAUACCGUUCUUUUCUUUGACUAAGACACACAACUAAUAAACCUCCUUACAACAAAUUGUACUCUCAAUUAAUACAUCUGAGAAUUCAAGAAAUUAUGUUUCUCCCUUUUAAAUCAGUAAUAACCUUUAAUAUCUCUUUUCAUUAAUUAAUUAAGCAUUACUAGCAUCUCAAGGUAAAUUUCUAUUCAAAAAAAAUUCACCACUAAUAUUCACUUAAGACAAUUUUUAAUUUAUGUAUGGAACUUCCACUUUUCUUAGUCAGAGUAUGGGCUUGGGCUUCGGUUCGGGACUCGUAUAUAACCUCUCACAUGUAUAGACAUAAAUAAUUUUUAAUAAUUUCAAAUAAAUAGAGUACCGUUACUAUAACUAUUUAUUAAUAUAAAAUCAUAAUCCAUAUGAUGUAAUUAAACAUUAAUCACAUAAGAGAAAAGAGUAAAAUAAUAUUCAUGCAAUACAUUCUUUAAAAAAGAAUUUUGAAUCAAGAAAAUCGUGGAAGACACUGCCACCAAUUCAAAAUGCAUGUAUAUUAUUUUUUAUUUUUUUUAAUAAAUGAAUUUGUCUAAGUAAAUGAAGACAUGAAUAAGGACUCAACGUGUCAGAAAUUAUCCUCAGCAAAAUAAAGAGACCUAGCCGCCACUUUAGUAACUGGCCAAACUAUAACCAUUGCACUUUAAUUGCUUUUAUUUUAAUAUAUUAAUAUACUAGUAAAAUUAUCCGCGCCUUGCGCAGAAAUUUAAUAUUACGAAAUUUAUAAAAUAAUACUUAAAAUUUAUCAGUCAUUAAAAUUAAAACACAAGAUUAUCUUACAUACAAGAUUACGUAGUAACGAACAUUAAUAAUGUAAAGAAAAUGAUAAUUAUAACAUCUUAUCAUUUAUCCUUUGAUCAAUCAUCUUUAAUUUGAUUUUAUAAUUUAUCCUUGAACUCAUGUCAAAAAUUUAUUAAGGGCCUGUUUGGAAGGACACCCUGGUAAUUGGAUUUGGUGUAAUUGGGUGUAAUUACAUUGUUUGUCCUGUUUGGUUGGACAUGUAAUUACUUGGUCAGCAGGUAAUUGGUGUAAUUGACAUGGGGUAAUUACACUCUACAAUUCACAGACAGAGACUGUGAAUUGCUGGUAAUUACAUGGUGUAAUUAUCAUCUGAUUACUUUUUAAUUAUUAUUUUUUUAGUUUUUUUAAUUUUUUUACUUCUAUCAUUUUAAGUUCUUUUUUUAUUUUUAUUAUUCUAAUUUUUUUUAAAUUUUAUUUUUUAUUUUAUAUUACUAUAUUUCAUUUUCUUCUUGUUCUCAACCUUACUUUACAUGAUUCUAUGCAAUUUUUUCGUAUUAUCUAUUUCCUUAUGCCAUACUUAUUUUCUCAUUAGCAUAAUUUUAUUAGUAUUCUAAUUUUUAAAUUAAAUAGAAUUUAUUGUUAAGUAAGGUUAUAGACUUACAUUUUCUUUUUAAGAAAAAAAUAAAAAUAAAUCAUAUUUAUGCAUCCUAUGUUGAAAUUUGCUAUAAGAGUAUCAUGUUAAAUUUUUUGUUUUGAAUUUAUAACUUAUGUUAUUUUUUCAGUUUCAUUUGUUUUAGUAAUAUUGAAUUCACAUUGCACGUCAUUUUUUAAUAAACUUGAUAGAUUAUCUUUUUGUCAAAUAUUUAAUAAUUUAUGACAUUUUAUUUAUAUAUUAAUUUUUUUAUCAAACAUCCAUUUCACAAUAUUCGUAGAAACUUCAUACUUUUAGUUUUUACGAUCAAUUCAAUUGAAAUUUAUUAAUUUGAAAAAAUAUAAAUCAAUUAUUUUUUCAUAAUAUAGGCUAAAGAAUAUAUGUUUAUUAAUUAAUAUAUUUUUAAAAAGGAUAUAUAUCUUAAAUAUUUAAUUUAAUGUUAUUUAUAAAGUUUCUUAUUUGUCUAGUAUAAAUUUUAAAUAAUUAAAUUUUAUUUUUAAAAUUUAAUAUAAUUUUAUGAUUGCAAUUGUGCAUAAAAAAAAACAUGUGUAAUUACGCCGUGGCAUCCAAAAAUGACAUGUGUAAUUACAGUGUAAUUUGGCAACCAAACAAGUCAGUGUAAUUACUAGACUGGUAAUUACUACCCUAGUAAUUACACCAAUUCCAAUUACCAAGUGGCUUUCCAAACAGACCCUUACUCUUAUCAUAUUUUCCUAGUUCACUUCGCACAUCAAGGUGCGAUAAAGUUUUUAAGGUUUUAUGUCCUUACAACGGCAUACCAAAUUUGAAUUUUGUCUUCAAGAGAUGGUAGUACAUAUCUUUAAAGAAUUGUUUUAUUGUACCUUCAACAAUUUCAGUAGAGAAAACUUACGUGAAUACUCAAUUAACGUGUGUUAUUUAAUUUGUACUAACAAAUACUUAUAACUUUUUGCAAAAACAUAAACAACAAAGUUCAAAACAUGUACUAAAAAAAUAAUUAAUAACAUAAACAUAAAUUAAUGGUUGUAAAAACACAUACCAGGAUCUGUAACAAUAGAAUGAAACAGAACGGAAAAAAUCAAGUCCACUGAAUGCACAGUGUCCCCUUAAGGAAAUUAUUCCUCUUUAGUACCCGAGGUUUAAAGGAAUAGAUCCUUUCAAGGUAGAAUGAUUCUAUUCACAAGUGUAUUGACACAAAAACAAUGGUGUUAGUGAGUCACUCAACAUGAGCAAAUUAAAAUACAUGAAUAUUUAAUUGCGCAAAAAAAAAAAAAAAGAAGUUCAGGAUUUUCAUGGUUUGAAUGAGAAGAAAUUCCUCUAUAUAUAGACAACAAAUGGUAGUGUGAACAAAUGCUUAUUGUGGCUUAUCGGAAAUGUCACAACUCUUUGGAAAAGUUACAACCCUUUGAAAAAGUCACAACCCUUUAUAAAAAUCGCAUCUCUUCGUAAAAGUCACAACUUUUCAUGCAAGGGUAAAAUAUAGUUUUGAAAAUAAAUAAAUUAAAAGAGAAUCCUAAUUUAUGAUGGCGCCACGUAGACGGGCCUAAGGUUUUCUUAUAUAUAUAUAUAUAUGAUUUUAUAUUUAAGCAAGUAAUAAAGAAUAGUGGGCUAAACAAGAUUGCAAUAAAUUAAAGACGAAAUGGUCUGGUGGACCCUUGUAUUUGUAUGUGUUUGUAUUGUGAACUCUUCUACUUACUCAUUUGUCAUCUGAACCCCUGAACUCAUCAAAACGCAAUAUUUUAAACACAUUUUUUGACUUGACAUCCUAUGUGGCAGUUACUACUAAAGAGCGUGUGACACACACCUAUUAGAAGCGUGAGACCCUUGGAAAAGUGUCUGACAGUCACAUUAGGGCUUUGUAAAGCCAUCAUCUUCCUAUUUGCAUCUAACACCAUUGUUGGACAAAAUUUGAGGUUUUCUUGGCCUCUUUUCCGAUCUUUUUCCCAAAAAUUUCUUCUCUAUCGUUUCUUGUUAUUAUACGGCUCUCUUUUUUCUAAUGAAAAACACCAUGGAAGGCAUAACACUACUACCGAAAUAUCUUACACUAACAUUAGGCACAAAAAUGCAAAAUCCCCAAAGAAUUUCAACAAAGUCAAUGUAAUUGAUUAAAAUCCCAAAAUCAAACAAAGACACAAAUAAAGAUCAAAUCCAAACUAAAAAACAAAUAAAUUCAAAAAUAAAUUGGAAAACCUACCUAGAUAAGUUGAAAAUCAAACAAAAAAACUCAAAUAAUUUUUGACAUUGACCCCUUGUUUCAGUUCCAAACCAAACCCAAACUUAUUGCCUUCUUCUCGUCCUCCUCACCUUCUCCGACCAAACUACCUUCGUUCUCACCAUUUCCGACAAGCUUCAACCAACAACUAUAAAUGAGAACCAACAACAACAACAACAACAACAAAAACCCCAAACUAACUCCGCCAAUAAGUCUAGACUUUCACAACGCCGCCAGUUGUGAACAACUAGAAACAAUCAGACCACCCAAUAGACCCCCACUUUUCCUUAGCGCCACCGGUCACCACCAAAACCCCAAUCCAACAUAACCCAAAAUCAACUCUGAACUCCAACGAAAUUGUGAACAACCAGAAAUCGUGCCAACAUUUUUUACUUCAAUGGAAAGAGUAGAAGAGGUUGGAAAAAGGAAAAGGGUAAGGAAGAUAAGAAAAAGUUGAAAUGAGAUUGUGGGGAUGGAGAUGCAGAUGGCAAUGGCAAAGAGAAAUAAAAAUUGGAAAGAGAAAGUGUAGGUAUAUUAAUCAAAUAUAAUAAAAGGAAAAAUGACAUGGAGUGACCAUAUAUACAUGUGUCAUUUUAUAAUUAUUUUUUAAAAUUAUGUGGCAGGCGUUUGUGAUACACACAGUUGAGUGGUAAAAAACGUGUUUAAAAUAUUGCGUUUUGAUGAGUUCAGGGGUUCAGAUGACAAAUGAGUUAGUAGAAGGGUUCACAAUACAAACACAUACAAGUACAAGGGUCUACCAGACCAUUUCGCCUAAAUUAAAACUAUAACAUCUAGUUUGUAACUUGUGACCCCGCCACUACAAAUUUAAAAUAGUUCAUUGAUCAACCAAUUUUUUUUAAUCCUUUAUUGCAAACAAAACAGUGGAUUCAAAACGCUUGGCGGCUCCACACCGAUGCUCUAAUUGCAUCCAACAUAAGAAUGUAAAUUAUGAACCUUAUAUGUAAUUAAACAUACAUUUCAUCUAUGUAAUCUAUUUAGAUGCAAACAAGACUAUGAUAUCAAUUGUUAGAAAACUAUAUGCAUAGCGGAAGUAUAUCAAAAUCUUACAACUUACAUGAAUAAUAGAUAAUCAAUAAUGUUUAUGCUAGAAUACAUACAAUUAUGCUAAACACUUAAACUUUAUGAAAUUGAUUCAAGAAUUACCUCUUGAAGUAUGAAUAGAUACCUUCAAACGAAUCCACAAGUUUGACAGACGUUCAAGCGAAUCCACAAGUUAUACAGAGCGAUCUUCUACAGUAAUCCCAAAUUCACAUCCAAACCCUCUCAAUACUUGGGUGGCCAAGUAUCAUAUAGAAACUUAUACACUUUCUAGGUUAGAAGAAUCCCUACUUAUAGAGAUUUCUUUCCGGUCCAAAGAGGAAAACAAAAAGACACGUUCUUUUCAAGAACUAAAAAGUCACAUUCUUUUGUUCCUUUUUUCGAGAAAAUAAGAUUCCGAACUCUAGUUAAAUAUGAGCACUAUAUUGACCACACAAUUAAUUACUGAGACUUCCUAUUAUGGAAAUAAUUUCAAAUAAUUAAUUUUAAUUAUACUUACCCUAAUAAAUUACAAAUCAUUUCACUAAAAAUUCGUAAUUACACUCCUCUAUUUAUAUUUUCAAAAUUGCCCAUUAAACACUUAUGUAAUUCCACAUGUUAAGAUUUCAAAUACUAAUCAAUAAAUUAAUUAAUUACUGACAAAAUUAAUUCAAUGAUUAAUUUUCUUUUGGGCACUGUUUAACUUAUUUUAUGUGUCAGAUUCAUAAAUCUACUUACAAGGUUUGACACGAUGAAAACUUAUAAGCUUCUCAAAAAGGCAUAUCAUUAAUCUCUAUAUCGAGACAUGAAUUCCAUCAACUAACUUAUUGUUAUUGUUUCACCAAUAUAUAUUAUUAUCAUCCAAUCAACCAGACAUAUUGAUCCAUCUCAGAAUCUCACAUUUUAAUAAAUCAAAACGAUAAUUAAUAUAUACAGAUCAUAAUAGUUAUAUCAGGAUUAAGAAUAUAAGUAUAUUUAAUAGUUUAGAGAAUAUGCUUUUGUCAGUCUAAAAAUAUAUUAACAAAGUAGAUUAUAAAUAUUAUUUUUGAUCUAUAAAUAAAAUAAAAUUAUAUAUAUAUAUAUAUAUAUUAUGUCGGUUUGGUUUGGGUUCGAUUUGACUUUUUUUCUUUUUAUAUCAAACCAAACCAAGAGUGGUCGUUUUUUUUUUCAACCGCCAAACCAACCAAACCACAAAUCGUUUUUUUUUUCGAUUUGAUUUGGUUCGUCAGUUCGAUUUGACUUUACGGUUUAACUUGUACACCCCUAAAUAAAUGGAGAGGAUAAACAACAUGUAUGAUAAGAAAACUGAUGAAGAAGAAUAGUCAGUGUAACUGCAAUCAAUGAUUCCAUGUUUGGACAAUUUGAUUGAAUGCCAAACAUUAGUAACUUGUAGAUUUACAAUGGAGAAUUUUCUUGAAAAACUUAACAGGUGCAAAUUGUUACUUUUUUUUUUAUUGAAUUUUAUCCUUUAACAGAAAGAAAAGAAAAAAGAAAAAAGAAAAGGGACAUGUACCAAAAGAUAAUGAAUGCAACAUCUCUUGAUUUGACAACUUGCCAAUUGGGUGUUUCGGGAGACAUAAGCAGGCACUGCAUGAAAUGAUAUGAUAGUCAAGUCACAAUUAAUUACACCUAAUUCCAAUCUCCAACUUUUCCACUUUCUCAUUUUUUUUAAACUUCAAAUUGUAUUUACAAAAACAAUUGUUUUUUUCUCUCUAAAAUUACGUCUCAACCCAAAUAUAUUUCAACUUUUAACUUUUUCAAAGCCUCAUUUUCAAAAUUUGUCAUGAAAUUACAUUAACCUUUCUGAAUCAAUACUCCAUAAAUUUAUAAAUCUCUAAGAUUAUAUUUUUUUCUCAUUCCGACUUGAUUAAUAUUAUAAAUUAAUAAUUCUUUAGAAUUACAAAUGUAUCUAAGACUAUUUAAUGAAAUGUGAUUUUAAUGUUUUUUGUUUUUUUUGUUAAAAUUUUAAUCUAGUUGAAGCUCAUUUCUAACUUUUCUUAUAACAUUCAAAAGUUUUGAUAUUGUCUUCUCGAACUGCACCUGUUCGCAACAAUAUUUCAUAGCGUUGAAAAGUGAAAAUUAACUACAAGAAAAUUUUAAAAAAAAAUGUGAUUUUUAUUGAUGAAUCUGUGAGUACAAUUUUGUUGUUCUCUUGAUUUAUCUCUCCUAAACUUUUCCGUGAUUCGAGGGCCUUCAGUAGCAUAUUUCUCGAAUGUAGGAUGAUGUAGACCUCCUUGAGAUGUGUUUGAUCUCCAGGAACGUUGGGAAGCACUUCGUCGUUUCAAGUCGAUCUCCAAGAAGAACUUUGUUUACCACUUUUUCGAAUAACUAUGUAAUCGAUGUUGUAACUUUCUCCAAUCCUUGCAGAAUACUUAUUGAAGAGUUUUCCUAGAAUUCUACUGAGAAUGUCAUGUCUAUCCCCUAUUUAUAAUUGGCUUAAGUCAUCAACAACUACUUAAAGUUGUCCGCAUAAUUCACUUAGACACCUGAAUUCAGGCUUGUACCUAUUGAACACCUCUACCUGUCUAAAUUCUAACCAUUUGAGCAUUUUUUGCCUACAUGGCAUUUUGAGUGUGAUUCACGUAUACUGAGCGCGUGAAAUGUGAAAAUAUUUAAUUAGACUUUUUUUUUAUUUUUUUUAUUUUAUCUUUCUUCUUCUUUGUGGUUGCUGCCACUACUCCUCAACCAAAUCAUCAAGCAGCAGUCGUCGCCUCCGCCUCUGCUUGUUCGUUAUUGUUUUCUUCGAAUCUAGAUCGAUUAAAAAUUUGUUUCUUUUCCUUUUUUCACUGAAUCUUUGUCAUAUUGUUGAUUUAUGGAAGCCAAACAAAGUUAUAAAUUUGCAAUUUAACUCUUACUUUGUGACAAUUCUGACGAACCAAAAGUAACUCAAAGGGCUUAUUCCGAUCCUGGCCGCUGAUAACAAUGAGUUUGUCACUCACAAGGAUACUCCGGCGAGGGAAGAAGAACAAGGACCUCAGUCGACGACGACGAAAACAAUGAAGUUCCACAAAAUCUUUACAAAUCAUUUUUAACUCUUAACACUUCUUCAUCGUCGGAGCUCCUGUCUGCUCUUGACGUCUUUUUCAAAGUAAAUUUCUCUAAUUUACUAUUCUGUUUUUUUCAAUUGUAGAAGCAAAAUACUAAUCUAAAUGGAUAGACAAUAACAAAACUAUAUCCUUUUUCAUGUUUUUAUGUGAAGUGCAUAUAGAAGCAUUAAUAUAAUGAUUGAAAUUAUUGGAGAUUGCAGGGCCGCCGGAGUUUUUGAACAAUGUUGAAGUAGCUGGAAUGGAUUGCAGUUGGAAGGGUUUGGGUAGUGAGUGGGUCGGGCUUACACAUUUUUUAAUAAUAAUAAUUUCCUUUUUCUUUUAAAUUAUAAUACAUUUUAAAAUAAUUUUUUUGGAUCCAAAUAACACAUGUCAUUAUUUAAUUUGCCAAAUUGCCACGUCACCACGAGUGUAUAUCACUCAUUUUAUACUUUUAGCUGAUUGUUCAAAAAAUGUUAAAAUGGUUCAAAUUCGAAGGAGUAGAGGUGUUCAAUAGGUACAAGCCUGAAUUCAGGUGUCUAAGUGAAUUAUGCGGAUAACUGUAAGUGGCUAGCGAUGACUUAAGCCAAAAAAAAAAGGUUAGUAUAAGGUACUCCUAUUACUUAAAUAAGACAAGGGAGAUAGAGUACCCCAUUAAAUUUACUGUACAUAUGUAAGUGACAAGGCAUGCAGAGGCAGAAUGACAAAAAUUAUAAUUGUAGGAGGUGGACAAGGUUGUUUAUAAUUGGCCAAAGGAUAUCAUUUUUGACACUUGACAGAUUGAGAUUGAUUUUUGAAUUUGACUAGGACUUCCACCUCAUUUGGACACUGGCAUCACCUUGUUGGUCUUGGAUGCCUAGUCAUCGUGACACAUGUCAUGGGUUAGGUAUUAGAGGUGAAAUGGACCUUGAAUUUUAAUUUAAUAAAAUAAACUUAAUUAUAUGUAAAACUCAAAUUAUCAUUUAACCCAAAUGAAUAGAAAUUUAAUUCAAAUUCCGUAUGAAUUUAAUCCAAUUAAAUUUAUGUCUACAAAAGCCCCCUCCUUCAAGGCUUGUUGAAGUAGGGGGCUUGCCGACAUUUGAUGGCGGGACUUGAAGUAUUAUGAAUUCGAUAAUAUUACUCUUAAGAUAUUUGCUUGACUCCAUUUCUUGUGAUGAAACUAGUUGUAUGCUAAGGUCAUGUGCAACUCCAUUUCAAUGUGUUCAUAAGGACUUUUGUUAUUUCAAUCCAACCGAUGGAUGAUAUGGAGGACUCUCGAGGGAGAGAUAAGCAAACCAAUGUGGCAAAGCUUUAUGAAUAUUAAGUUUGAAUAAACUUUCACCAUAGACUUGAAUGCAAAUUUGGACACCGAUACUCACAAGUGCCACACAAGUCCCCAACGUUGGACUUUAAAAAAAAAAGAACAUAGCUUGAUUUGCACAUUUUUUGCAAACCUUCAACUUGGAAACAAGUGGUAAUUUAACAAUCACACCAAACUUUAUUUCAUUUUCUUGAAUUUGUAAGAAUCAUUCUUCAAAUCUUAAGCAAUAUUGCUCUCCUUUUGAGUGUUAGGAUCUUCCAUUUAGAUGAGCAAGAAUUGAUUUAAAUUGUUUCUUCCUAUUUUACCACAACUUUCCUUGUACAAAGAAUGAGAAUUGUUCAUAGGAACCUCUAUAUAAACCUCUUUCAUGAACAAAGGAUUCAUCAAAGAAUCAUUGGAAUAAUCCUUUUGAAUUUAUAGUAACAUAUUUUUGAAGUAGAACUCCAAAUUUGGUGUGUUAUUUCUAUAUUUCGUGCAGUCCCACCAAAAUGUCAUUCUCUUAGUGUAGGAGUGUCCAGAUGACGAGAGGCUUAAUUCUGAAGAAAAUCGACUUGUAUUAUUAUAACAUAUCCAAAAAUCAACAUUAAACACUUUUAAGAUUGACGGGAAUCGAUUUUUGAAGUUGGUGUCAAAAUCUGACAGUUCUUUUCGCAGUUAUGUGCAAUCUCGCCAAAACGUCAUUUUCUUGGUGUAGGAGCAUUCAAAUGUUGAGCGGCUUGAUUAUGGAGAAACUAGACUUUUAGUACUACAACAUAUCUAAAUCAACUUCAAAAACCUGUCGCAUUGACGGAAAUUGAUUUUUGAAGUUGGUCUCCAAAUCUGGAAGUUCUUCUCACAGUUAUGGCCAAUCUCGCCAAAACAUCCUUUUCUUGGAGUAGGGGCAUUCAAAUGACGAGUGUCUUGGUUGUGAAGAAACUAGACUUGUAGUACUAUGAAAUAUCCAAAAACCAAUAUCAAACUCUUUCUGAAUUGACAAGAAUUGAUUUUUGAAGUUGGUUUACGAAUUUGAUGAGUUUUCUCACAGAUUUCCAUUUUUUUGCAUAUGAUUUUCGUUUUUUUUGUAGUUGACAAAGAAAUGACUUGAUCUUUAUUCAUCAAAAUUGCACCAGAAGAUUCACGUAUGCAAGCCUUAAGCAGUAGUUGUUGAAGAGUGAUCUAGGCCGCAAGUUAAAGCGUCAUACUAUUAACGUUGAUAUCUGUCCAAUUAGAUUGUUGUGCGACUAUUAAUGCUUGUCCUGCGAAACUGAAACUUCAUGCCAUUUGCACCGAACUACAUAGAAACAAGAAGCUUUGUACAGUUAGCACCAUGGGCUUCGUUAUCCUUUUUUUUUUUUUGUAGGUUUAUCAGAAAGCAUAAAUGAUCUUGACAUCAGUAAGGAAUCCACCAGAUGUCCAUAUGAUCGACGCUGAACCAUUUUAUAUGUCACUUCCUUACUUCUUGGAAAUAAAGGAUCUUGGAGCGGACAUACCCCUCCUUGGCAACACUAGAGGUAGUCCUUUCAAACUUCAACGAGCAAGUAGUUUGUGGCCAUCAUUGCUGCCUUGUGAAAAAGAAGUUUCGAGUGUAAACAUUCCAUUCUUGGUGGGAGAGCACGUGGUGCAUCUUAUCCUUGAGUCUUGGCGAUAAAGAGGCUAAGAGUGACCACGUUCCAUCUGGCUUGGAGAGAUUGACAUUACGAGAAGCCCUUUCCGACUUCGGUGAGUAAGUACUUGGAACCUAUCCGUUCCCAGAGGUAUGAGCAAUGGAAUUGCAAUCCGCUUGAUCCUAAAGAAACGGAACUCAACUUUCUGCAAUAUAUCAAGAUUUCAGACCAAAACUCCCUCCAAAUUGAUCAAAAUUAAUUUCUGAAGUUGAUUUCUAGAUCUGAUAUGUCUGUUUCGCAGCUUUGCGCGUCUAUCGUAGAAAAUUGAUAAGUCGGAGUAGGAGUACCGAAAUCAUGAGAUUCUUGUUCCAUUGGAAAGAUGACUCAAAGAACUACAACAUGUAUAAAAAUCAGGGCCAAAGACUCUAUGUAUUUGUACAGAUAUUGCUUCAAAGUCAGCCCAUAAUUCUGUCUUGCUAAGCUCUUCAGAUUUGCGCGUCUGUAGUAGAAAAUUCAUAGCUCGAAGUAGGAGUACCGAAAUCAUGAGUUUCUUGUACUGUUGGAAAGAGGUCUCAAAUAACUACACCAUUUGUAAAAAUCAUGGCCAAAGACUUUAUGAAUUUUCUCAAAUAUGCCUUUGAGUUCUGCUCACAUCAACUCCAAAAUAUGAUGAUCUUUUUUUUUCUGCUUCGAGAGACUGUAGUAGAAAAUUCAUAACUUAGUGUAGAAAUCUCUGAAUCACGAGCCAAUUUUUCCAUUGCAAAGUGGACUCCAAGAACUGAAAUAUGUGUCAAAAUCAUGGUCGAAACCUUUACGGACUUUCACAAAUAUGCCUUUCAAGUCAGCUAAGACUUUGCCUUGCUUAACUCUUCUCCUUUGCUCAUUUGUGACUCAUUUGAACUCACGUGCUAGCUAUGUAAUUUUAAAGAGCUACUAUGAUGAUCAUACAAUGCCACAAACCUCUUUUUUUACUCAUGUUACUGAGCUUAGAGUGAUUACUUCUAGCGCCUAUGUACCUUGGUGAAGAGGAUCAAGUCAUAUCGUAGUUCAAGAUGAUGAAUUUUAUUUAUUAUUUUUUGGGUCAUACACAAUUUAUACUCUUGUAGGCCAGGAUUAACAAGUAGUUUCUGCUCGUACCUUAAGGAGCAUUUCAACUUGCAGUCUAGGCUCGUGCGUCGAGGAGCAUUUUAGAUUCAGGAAUAACUAAGUAAACUCGAGGCUAUACUCCUGCACACUCAUAGCUUCCUGUUUCAGAUUCAGAAACCCUCUUACCUUAGCUUCACUUAGCUCUCGUGCCCCAAGAAAGCAUUCUCAAACACAACCCAGCUCAAAAGUGGUGCCCCCUCUACCCUGUUCUUCUUCCACUGAUCAUACCAUAUCCUAGAAACAUCUUUGAGCUGAUAUGAGACUAACUCCACAUGCUCUGAAUCAACAACGCACAUGUCCUCAAACAUUUUCUGAAGCUCUUCCACAAAGUUCUCUAGGUCCUUAGUGAUCUUUGACCCUGUGAACUCUAGGGAUUCAUACUCAAAAACUCAUGAAUUCCAAAUGUAUCAGUCACAUCUUGAUGACCCACUCCUCGUUGACUAGCUUGAUUUGUCACAGCUUGAGUUAGCAUCUGAAUAGCAUUCCAGAACUCAGCAUUGGUGACAUCUCAUGAGGGGGUUGCACUUUUGGUGCAUUGGGAGCUUCUUGACCUUGAGGAUUAGCAUUCCUCCUAACAGGACGUCCUCGAACAACUCUUCAUAGAGGCAUGAUCUGUAAAAGACACGCGUAAGCACAAGUUAGAAGAAACUUUUAUAGAGUUGAAAUCUAUCGCACGAACAAGAGUAAGAAGAAAGUGAAAAAUUUCUAAAUGUCAUAGCUUGCUCAUUAUAGAUGUGACACGCUUCACACCGAUAAGAAGGACACUACUAGACACGACUUCAUAGACACCCCAUAACUCUUUGCUCUGAUAUCAAGUUUGUCAUGCCCCCUAUAUUGUGAAUGUGACCGGCACUCGAGAACCACUAUUGGUUCAUAAGCAAACCCUUAGUUUGGUUGACUAUUUAAUAGAAGACCUACUCAAGCAAUAUUCGUCUUAAAGUAGAACUCAAUCAUGUAAACUCAAAGUCAAUCCUAAACUCAAGUGUUUGAAAAUACUCAAUGUAAUAAACAUAAUAGUUGUAAAACAGUUUAACAAGGACUCUAAGGACAUCUCAAGUCUAACUAUUAUUAAGCCUCUAAUAGUAAGAUAGGUGCCGGGACAAAAACCCAUAACAUCUCAAAGCUACUAAACUAAAAGUAAAUGUGAAGUCCUUCGGUAUGCAAAGAGGCUUACCAAUAGCUAUCUGAAGUGCAAAGUGAUCUCAACGAAGCGCCUGUUGAUGAUCAUGAACACAUGUAUAUGCAUCACAGAAAGAUGCAGGUCGAAUGACAUCAGUACAUGGAUGUACGAGUAUGUUAGAUAGUAGAAGUGAAAUAACUGAAGAAGGGAUUGCAACAUAUAAAAUAUAUGCAAGCUGAAUGUAAAGCAAUAAGAGUUAAAUAAUUUAUAACUUUACAAAUACUUACUCAUAUCUCGUAUCUGAACUCAACAUAAUAGGUGAUAAAUGAAAAUACACUCUAACUCUAGUUGGGAGAUUAUCUAACCGACAAUCAUCACUAUGAGCUACGUUAUGAUACAACAUCUCACCCACACUGCUUGAACUGUCAUAUAAUGUGCCAGGGUAUAGAACCUCUCAACUAAGUGAAUCCACUAAGCAAUAAGGAUUCAUCUAAAAAGUAUAAUCCUUUACCCAUGUUGGUAGACAUGGUUUAUGAGGAUUUUGAGUUUUAUGAACUCAUAUUCAUAUUGGUGCUUAAUACUACUCCCAAUAAUAUACUCAUGGUUAAAUGUAUAAAAAUACUCUUUCUCUGUUUUGAGGUAAUUACUCAAAAUAACCUCUUAAAAACGGUAACUGCUCUAAAAUAUCUCUGAACUCAAACUCUUUUUAGAAAUCAAAGUUUCUCUUUUCUCAAUGUAAAAAUGAUACACUUGGAAAUACUUAGUUCCCUUAAAGAAUGGUUUGGGACUUAGCUUAGAAAUUUUCGGGAUAUUACAGCCUCGUUGGCAUCUUUAGUUGAGGGUGGCCAUGCGGACACACCCUUCGUCAAAAAAUUAUACAAGGUUAAUUGCUACUUAAAAUGGUUAUUUAUUGCAGUUUGCACACCUUUACGACAACUUGAUAGGAUGGUGCAAAUGCAAUGGUCGGUAGCGUCAAAAAAAGUUUAUUCAAUUUCUAGUAGGUGAACUGGACGGUGGCAUCAAAAAUCGAAUGGUGACAUGUUGCAAAACCAACUUCUUCUCUGUUGUAUUGAUUAUUACAUUAUUAUUUUGUUUACAUGAAUUUGAAUAUUCAUGUAAGUUCUGAGGCUAGUGACAAAAAGCAAUACAAGGAUAUCAGUUAUAUAUAUACUAGCUAUAUACAUCUCUAAUUUCUUGCAUCCACUGUAUAUCAGUUAUCACAAUCUAACCUACUUAACUUAAUCAUUCCUAUUAAGAAUAGUGCAAGACAAGUAAGAUGUUUUUUUCAUACUAUAUAAUUGUACAAUUAUAAUUAUAUAGGAAAUUUCUGUUUUCUUAUAUAUGUGUUACCGUAGAAAGUCGAGGAUGUUUACGGAAUGUAUGUUCCACACAACAUUGAAAAUGAUGGACAGCCAGAAGAUCGAAGGCAAUGCUGAGUAACAAUUGUGUAAACCAAUGAAAGGCAAUAAUUCAACAAAGCCAAGUAAUUUCCUAGACAAAAUAAAAACUCAAAGAAAACUUUUAUGCGGAGGUAUUUUGACUUCUUCUUAGUUUCUUCACCAUUUAAUAAAUUCUAUAACUCACAUAAUAGGAGUUACUUUUAUAUAAGUAAUAAUUAAGUACAUUGAUUUGUAAAGAAUCUAAUGAAGAUGGUGGGAUGAUAGGCAUGAGAAAGAGAUCAAGUCGAACAAGUUUCUCAAAUCGAAGGCAUGUCAACUUUUAAUUUACAAUGCCUCUAAGCUGUAAUAACCCUCUUGGCCAUUUUCUCUGUAGUGCAAUAUUUUUGAUGUUUAGAGCUUUUUGGUCGUUCGUUUAGUUUUUAUGCAAGUUUCUCUGUUUUGGAGUUUUUGAAAUUUAGACGGUUGACUUCGGUCAAAACACAGGUAAACAACCUCAAAAUGCAAUUUGAUAUUGGUUUUGUUAGUUUUUGAACAUUGAGUUUGGUCUAGAAGAAGCCUUGGUUUAGGUCUUGAGGCUUAUAAAAUCAUCUCGAGCUACCUUGUGGAUUUAGGCUAAACUAGAGCUUUGGCUGUGGGACCCACUUUUUAUUGAGAUAACGUCUGUUGGAAGUUUCGACAUCUCCGUUGAGUCCAGAUUAUUGAAUUUGGUAGGGUAGCAUAGCUCUUUUGUGUGUAUGGUUUUCCAAACCAAUCCCAAGCACUAGAGCUGAGUCCAUUCGGACUUUGCUAAAUUUGUUGGUUCCUGAGCUGGUGUAGCCACCUAAGCGGCCAUGGAACGCUUUAGCGGAUGUCUUUUAAGCGGCCAGAGACCUAGCCUCUUUUGCAGUCAUCACUCGUGGUUAAGUCUCGUUUUCAGUUGUUCUUUUUGAGACUUUGUAUUUCUUAAAACAAACUUGUGAGCUUCUUUCUUGUAGGAUUUCUGUGUUGUUGAUUGGGAAGUGUUGAGGGAGCGUGUCGGGAGUUGAUAGAAUCGUAAUUCACCCGCUAAACUCAUAAGUUUCUUUGAUUCUUUCUUGUGAAUUCUCAAAGUCUUGGGUGCAUGAUCUGUUUCGAGGCAUUUUGAAGCUCAAAUUGUGCCCAUUUUUGGGGCGCAAGUUCCUUGAGCUGGUUGGGAUCCCAUUGACGGAGUCAAUUUAAGGAUUCCUGGCCCAGGUCUUGCAAUACCAUUUUUGUCCCCUUUUUAGUUCCAUCUUUAAUUAUUGUGAAUUGGGUGUCUAAAUGAUUGUAUUGAUGUUGGGAUCAUUACUUCGAUAGUGUGGCACCGUUCGGAGGCGGUUUGGAACGGAAAAGCGUCUGUUAAGAGAUUUUGGAGCGCAUGUUUGUGAUUGGAGCGCAUGUUUGCUAUCCUUAGACCUUGUUUGUGAUUGUUAGCAUGCUAAUUAGCUAAGUGCGGGGCAGGUUUCUAUCAUGAUUUUUCAUGUUUCGUUCCUUUCUUGUGUCGUUUUGACCUUAUUUUGUGUGUUUUGGGUAAUUCUUGAGAUUUCUUGUUAUUAGUUGAGAACCUUUGCACCCGUGAGUUGAAAUUAGGCUAGAAUCACCUUAGUAUUGUUGUUGUGAAGCCUUAGCCUAGGUUUGGCUACAAUAAUGCAGUCCAUUCUAAGAUCAAUCAGCAAGCUCAACAUGAACUAAUUAAGCAGUCGUAUUUAGUUUACUAAGGAGAUGAACAAAUUACGAUGGCCUAACCUGAAUAAACAAACAAUGAACUGUCUAUGAUUUAAGUAAUUACAAAUAUGGAGAUACAAGUUCUAUAUAUUAUCAAAAUAAAAGUGUAACCAUGUCAGCAGCAGAUUAAUACCAAAUCAAAUUAUCAAACAUACUCAGAAAAACUCACAUGAAGAUGAGACAAUUUAAACUCACAAUGAGACAAAGAGUCCAAGAAGAUGAGACAGUUAGUGUAUUUUCCUUGUAGUCAAUGUGAUAGACAUUCUCAUUUAUGGAGAAAGCAUAAGUCUUCCGUUACACUCUAAGGCACAAGGAACCAACCUCUAAUAAUUUUGUUCUUCAACUUCAGUGUCCUUCACUGCCACAUCAUCAACACUCUGCCUCAUAAUGAAAACAAAUGAGAGGAUCGGACCACAGUUCAUCCUUGAUCAUCUCACCGAUUUCAUCCCUUUUGUCAGCUUCACUGAACCACUUAAAGAAGCUUCGUUCAUCAACUCCCUUGCCUUGUGCCCAUUGUAUUGACACCUAUAUAUACUUUUUCCAAAGCUUUGCAUUCUCAAAAUAUGAAUUUCAAUCAAAAUUUUAGAUAAUGCUAUAACCUGAUUUGACAUCUUGAGACUGUUCAAGUUUGAUUGAGCUUAGAAACUCGAAUAUCUUGCGGUCCUCUUCUGCACAUACAAGGCCACGAUGCUUCAGGAAAGAUUUCAACCAGAAGUCAGGAAUAUAUUUAAUAAUAUUUGUUCUCUUCUCAUAGAUCGGUUGAUGGAUCCGAUUGUACUUUUGUGCAACUUUCAACAAUUCACCACUCGCCUCUUGGUUAAUCUUCGCCAACUCAUCUUGCAAUCUUUCAACGCACAAAACGAUUUGCUUUCCAUCAUGAUCAAUCUUCUUCUUCCAUUUGUCAUUCCCCAUCUUUAUUGACACUUCAUCACUCCCAUGAUAUAUUUGUGUUCUAUGAAGUGAAUGCUUUGACAAGAAGUAAAUGAUUUUUUGUUUCAUUCAACGUCCCAUUCGAGAGAUUGUAAAGGAAAUGGGAAUAAUUAAGUAAAGAAAUAGAGCAGCUCAAAACUCCAACCAAACCAAACAAGAAACAUCAUUUACUUGUCAAAUCUCAUUCUCAAUACUUAUUACACCCUCCCUCACUUUUAUUUGCACAUAUCUUAAAAAAACACUCUCUCCGUCCUUAUAUACUUGUCAAAUAUUUCCUAAUUUAAUUUCUCCUUUUACUUAUCAUUUUUGACAAAUCAAGCCAUGACAAUUAUUAUUCCCUCAAUUUAUUAACAUUAAGUAAUGUCUUUAAAAAAUAUAGCGAGUAAAUAUGUUUGGGACCCUAUCAAUUAGUAGGAUAAAAUGGUAGACUUAUUAACCAAUAAUUAUUUUCAUAAUAAGUGUGUCAAGUUAAAUUAUGACAAGUAAAUAGGGAUGGAAAAAUCAAUAAUUAAUAUUAAAAAAAUUAUCAUGAUGUUCAUAAUAAUUGAUAUUUAAAACUAUAUUUACCUUUCACCCGUUAAAACUAGUCAUAUUUAUCCUUCAUCCACUAAAAUUAGCAAUAUUUACCUCUCUAAUUAGAUUUCAUUUUCACCUUUAAAAAGUCACAUGUCGUGGUAUUAAUAAAUGAAAAACCAGCCCCAUUUUUAAUUCUAAACUGGCCCGACCCACUUUCUUACCCACACGCAAAUCACUCACACUUCUCUCUAUCUAGGGUUCUGGGUUGAUUUUUUGUUAUUAUUUACCAGAUUUUUUAUAUGUCAAUAUGAGUACCAAUACACUCAUAUAAUCAUGUAAAAUAUUUGAUAGAUUGGGAGCACUCAAAGGCUCAAGAAAAGGAAAAACUAGUUUAUGAUUGUUGUGCUUCAGAAUGAAGUAAGUUAAAAUUUUCUAGACUUCAAUUGGAGAAUGUUUUGCAAUUAAUGACAUUUAGGGAAUUGUUGGGUUUUAAAAGGUGUGGAUGGAAAAUGAAGAGUUGCGACUUUUAUGAAGAGUUGCGACUUUUAUGAAAAGUUGUGACUUUUAUGAAAGAUUGUGACUUUUCCAAGGGUUUGUGACCUUUCCAGUUAAGGCACAAUAAGAACAUUUUCACACUACCCUUUGUUUUCUAUAAAUUGAGGGAUUUCCUCUCAUUUUAGUCGAACAAUUUUUUUUUCCUGGACUUCUUCUACUACUACUAAAUGUAGUAUUCUAAGUGUACUUUACUGUCGUUGAGUGAUUCGUUGACACCGUGAUUUUAGGUAUCGAUACACCUGUGAGUAAGAUCGUUCUAUCCUAGGAGGAUAUAUUCCAUUAACCUCGGGUACUUGAGGGGAAUAAUUUCCUUAAGGGGACACUUUGCAUUCAGUGGACUCGAUUUUCUUUCUUUGAGAAAAAUAUUUUUAUAUUGUUUCUAACUUGUUUCUGAUUCUAUUUUCUCUACUAGUUUUAAUUUUCUAGUUUGAAAAUUUUCUUUAAAACUUUGUUGUUUCUUACCAAGUUCUUCAAAGUUUUGUUCUAAGUAUCUUAGGAUUACAAGAUGAACAACAAUCUUAAGGAAAUUAUUAUACUGUUGGUAUUUCUUGUAUUCUACUGAUUGAGAGAAACAGUUCAUGGAAGUAGAAGAUUAAUGCAUUACUUCUCCAUAAUUCGGUGCUUUGUUUAGCAAGGUCGAAGUGAGAAUGUACUGGAAGAAUUGGUGGUAUUUAGGUUAAAGAUUGCACCAGGUAACCUUCUUAUUAUUUAUCUAAGGAGGAAAAUAGUUUAUAAAAGUUAAUAGCUUUGGUAAUAUUUAGCAUGUAUGUCUUUGGAAAAAGAUCUGCAAACCAUAUGAUUUUUGAAUGAAUUUUCCUUGGCAAAAAGUGUUGCCUUUAAAAUUCUUCAGUUUGUAGAAUGAGAGAUGCAUAUUUUUGUUUGAUAAAAUAGUAUGUCAAAAUGUUUCUAAGAAUAUGUUUAAUUCUAUUUGGAGACUAAAAAAAACUUUUGUAGUUUUGUACUCCGUGUGAAAUUUGAUUGUGUCUGAUUUUUGUAGACUAAAAACUUUUAUAGUUUUCUACUCUGGAUAAAUUACACGAUGCUAUUGGUUUGAAGAAUAUGAAAACUUCACAUAAUAAGUCAAUGUUGUACUUUUGACUUUCUAUAAACUUCACUGUUAUAUAGAGAUAAAUUGUACAAAUUUUUUUUGUCUUUAUUGUUAGUAUUCUAAAUACUAAGUGGUAUGUCUAUUUGUGAUAGAGGAAAAAUAUCAGUGACUUAGAGUUUGUCAUUUUGUGCCUCUAUGAAAUGAACUUUGACAUUGUGUAAAGAUGUCAAAGAGAAUUGAAGCACUAUAAUUCUUUUGUAGAAUAAUAUUUUCAAAAGAGGUUUCAUGUUGCCAAUGACACUUUGAUAGCAUGAGAAAAAAAAUAUGUGGAAAAACUAUUUUCAAAUACUUGAAAAUAAUUUUUGAGAUCAUAUUUAAAAUGUGGGGGUUCUAUGCUUAUUACAAAGAUAAAAUUAGACUUAGUGUCUAAUUUAAAUUUGGAGCACAAGAUAUGAAAUUCGAUGAUACUUUUGUAUUAUGUUAGUUUGUAGCACAUAAAAUUGUAAAAAAUAGGAACAAAAUAUUUGUGAGAAAAAGCUACCUCGCGGAGAGCUUUUCAAACUCAAUAUUUUUAUUUGUUCUUACUUUUUUGAGUCAAACUGUUUGUGACAUGAACACUUGGGACAUGUCAAUUACAAAACCUUGUAAGGAAAACUGAUCAACUUAGAAGUUUUGUCUAACUUUGAGUGCAAUAAAAUAAAAAUGUCAAGUUUGUGUGGAAUCUUAGUAUGGUGAGCAUUCUUAUAAAUCUGUUGAAAGGAAUUCUAAUCCCUUAGAGUUGAUUUACACUGACAUUUGUGAUAUGAAGUCAACACCAUCUCGCGGUGGGAAAAAGUAUCUCAUAAGUUUCAUUGACAAUUGGAUUAGAAAUGACUAUGUCUAUUUGCUGAAUGGUAAUGAUGAAGCAAUAGAAAUGUCUAGAAAAUAUAAUAUUGAAGUUGAAAAUCAGUUGGGAAAAAGAUAAUAAGUGAUAGGGAUGGAGAAUAUAAAUCUACUUUUGCAUAAAUAUGUUUGAAAAAUGGAUUUAUCCAUCAAACUACUGUCUUAUUCACCUAAAUCUAAUGGAAUUGCAGAAUGAAAAUAAAACUGAACUUUGAAAAAAAUGAUGGUUGCAUUACUUAUAAGUUCAGGUUUACCACAAGACUUGUGUGGAGGAACUAUCCUUACUGCAAAAAGGAACAACAAAAAAGUUGUCUUUUCAGAAAAGAAAGCAAUUUUGUUUGUUCAGGAUACAAUCUAUUCCAUAUGAGAAAUGGAAAAUGAAGGAAAUCCAACUUGAAAUACUUCAAAGUGUGGGGGGUGUCUAGCCAAAGUCCAAGUUCCUAUUCCUAAAAGGAUUAAACUAGGACCUAUGAUUGUGGACUGUAAGAUUAGACUUGAGUAGUCUAGUGAAGGGUCUAAAAGACCUUGAAAAGAAAAAAAUAGAAAGUACUUAAUAAAGAGAUUCAGAGGCAUAGUAAAUGUCAAAGGGCAUCUACUUCCUUCGAAUAUGAUUUUGUAACAUUUCUUGUGUCUUAUGUAGACUCAUCCUUCUGGAAAGAUGGUGUCAAUAAUGAGAUUGAUGCAUUCUUGAAUAACUAUAUUGGAAGUUAAUUGAUUUUCUUCCAGAAAAUAAACCUUUGGGUUCAAAGUGAAUCUUCAGAAGGAAAAUGAAAGUAGAUGGAACUGUUGACAAAUAUUAAGCAAGACUUUUUGUCAAAGGCUUUAGACAAAAACAAGGUCUUGAUCUUAUCGAUAUAUACUCGUCAAUAACUAGAAUUACAUCCAUUCAAAUGUUAAUAUUAUUAGUUGUGGUAUAUGACCUCCAAAUUCAUCAAAUGAAUGUGAAAAUAACUUUCUUAAAUGGAGAAUCGGAGGAAGAAAUUUACAUUGAACAACCCAAGGGUUUUGUGGUUCCUGGAAAAGAAAAGAAAGUGUGCAGACUUGUUAAGUCACAUUAUGGACUAAAACAAGCACCCAAACAAUGACAUAAGAAAUUUGACCAAACCAUGUUUGCAAAUGGAUUUAAGAAUGAUGGAAGUGAUAAAUGUGUUUACAUUAAAAUCACACGAUCAUUGUUUGUUUGUAUAUUAAUGACAUAUUGAUCAUCAGUAGAGACACUAAUGACAUAAAUGCUACUAAACGUAUGCUAGAAAUAAGUUUGAUAUGAAAGAUCUUGGAGUUGCUGAUGCGAUCUUAGGUAUAAGAAUCCUUAGAACUCUAUAAUGUUUAGCAUUCUCUCGGUCUCAUUGCAUCGAAAAGGUAAUUGACUAGUUCAAAUAUUUGGAUUUCAAUAUUGUCAAGACUCCAAUAAAUGUGAGCUUUGCAUUUCAAAUGAGUGAAGGCGAAAGUGACUCACAAUUAGAUUGUGCUAGAGCAUUGAGAAGUAUGAUUUAUAUCAAGAAGUGUACGCGAUCAGAUACAAUACGUGCUAUUAGAAAACUGAGUCGGUUCACGAGUAAUCCCAAUCAAACUCAUUGGAUGGCAAUGAAAAGAGUUUUGGGGUAUUUAAAACAUACUCAAAGCUAUGUCUUGCAUUAUAACAAUAUCCAACAGUAUUGAAAGGAAAUAGUGAUGCAAAUUGGAUCACCGGGAUCAAAUGAAGUAAAAUCCACGAGUGGAUAUAUAUUUACUCUUGGUGGAGGAGCAGUCUCUUGGAAAUCUUCCAAAAAGACAUGUAUCACUAGCUCUACAAUGAUCUCUGAGCUAGGUGCUCUAGAUAAGGCCGGUGAAUAAGUUGAAAGACUCCUGAAUUUCUUGAUAGAUAUUACUUUUUUUUGUCUAAACCUUUAGCAUUAGUAAGCAUACACUUUGAUAGUCAAGAUGCAAUAGGUANNNNNNNNNNNNNNNNNNNNNNNNNNNNNNNNNNNNNNNNNNNNNNNNNNNNNNNNNNNNNNNNNNNNNNNNNNNNNNNNNNNNNNNNNNNNNNNNNNNNNNNNNNNNNNNNNNNNNNNNNNNNNNNNNNNNNNNNNNNNNNNNNNNNNNNNNNNNNNNNNNNNNNNNNNNNNNNNNNNNNNNNNNNNNNNNNNNNNNNNNNNNNNNNNNNNNNNNNNNNNNNNNNNNNNNNNNNNNNNNNNNNNNNNNNNNNNNNNNNNNNNNNNNNNNNNNNNNNNNNNNNNNNNNNNNNNNNNNNNNNNNNNNNNNNNNNNNNNNNNNNNNNNNNNNNNNNNNNNNNNNNNNNNNNNNNNNNNNNNNNNNNNNNNNNNNNNNNNNNNNNNNNNNNNNNNNNNNNNNNNNNNNNNNNNNNNNNNNNNNNNNNNNNNNNNNNNNNNNNNNNNNNNNNNNNNNNNNNNNNNNNNNNNNNNNNNNNNNNNNNNNNNNNNNNNNNNNNNNNNNNNNNNNNNNNNNNNNNNNNNNNNNNNNNNNNNNNNNNNNNNNNNNNNNNNNNNNNNNNNNNNNNNNNNNNNNNNNNNNNNNNNNNNNNNNNNNNNNNNNNNNNNNNNNNNNNNNNNNNNNNNNNNNNNNNNNNNNNNNNNNNNNNNNNNNNNNNNNNNNNNNNNNNNNNNNNNNNNNNNNNNNNNNNNNNNNNNNNNNNNNNNNNUUGUGACUUUUAUGAAAAAUUGUGACUUUUAUGAAGAGUUGUGACUUUUACGAAGAGUUGUGACCUUUCCAAAAUAUUGUGACUUUUCCAUAGGGUUGUGACCUUUCCAGUGGCACAAUAAGAACCUUUUCACACUACCCUUUGUUUUCUAUAAAUUGAGGGAUUUCCUCUCAUUUUAGUCGAACAAAUUUUUUUUCCUGGACUUCUUCUACUACUACUACUACUAAAUGUAGUAUUCUAAGUGUACUUUACUGCUGUUGGGUGGUUCGUUGACACCGUGGGUUUAGGUACCGAUAUACCGGUGAGUAAGAUCGUUCUAUCCUGAGAGGAUAUAUUCCAUUAACCUCGGGUACUUGAGGGGAAUAAUUUUCUUAAAGGGACAUUGCACAUUCAGUGGGCUCGAUUUUCUUUCUUUGAGAAAAAUAUUUUUAUAUUGUUUCUAAUUUGUUUAUGAUUCUAUUUCUCUACUAGUUUGAAAAUUUUCUUUAAACUUUGUUGUUUCUUACCAAGUUCUUCAAAGUUUUGUUCUAAGUAUCUUAUGAAUACAAGAUGAACAACAGGAAUUAGGAUAAGAGGUAUCAUAUAGAUGAGAUGAACACCUAUGCGAGGAUCAGGUGGCAUGUUCGAUAAAUAUGUUGAUUCUUUAGCAAAUUUUUGUGAUUAUUUGACUUUGUCCGAGGAAAAUGGUGAAAUUGACUUGAUUGAUUGUGGCUAGUUGAGACAUGAGCAUAAAAAAAUGAUUAUCUUGCAAAAUAAGAAAUAAUUGAGAUUGUUAAUGAUAAUUCUUGUUUGGUAUAUAUACUUGUUUGAUAUAUAUAUUCAUAACACUCAUCUCAUUGCAGGAAGAAAAUGCGACAUAGAGAGUCUUAUUCUUAACAUUUUCAUGAAAAUGAUUCUUGCACAAAGGAAGCGUCAUCAAGAUCUUUCAUUUCAAAUUUACGGGAUAGUUUCUUGAUUUCAUGAAAUAAACUUACAUCACUGCUUUCCAAUAGAAUGUCAUCUACAUAAAGCACAAUAAUAAUAUAUUUAUUUUAAUUGAACUUGAGAUAUGCAUUGAUCUUAAAAACAAAAAAGAUUAUCACCUGAUCAAAUUUUUAUAUCAUUGACAGAAUGCCUAUUUUAAACCAUAUAUUGACUUUUUAAGUCGUAAUAAGCUACAAUAUGAUUCUAAAAGAGUCUUUCGAUGAAAUUGACAAAAAAAGUCUCUUCAAAAUCUAGCUUCCUUUUGAGUGAAUCCACUGACAACUAGGUGUGCUUUAUAUCUUGACUAACAGUUAUAGGAUAAUCUUCUAAUCCCAUAUCAAAAUCAUGUUCUUGGAAAUAAAUAAUGGUCAGCCAAAUUUGCAUUUCUCCUUUUUAUGCUAGAUCUUCUUUUAGGUACUUAAACUUGAGAUUGUUGGAAAAUAUCAAUUUGAAAAGCAUUUGAUAAAGCCACCUGAUUAUUUUCACUAGUAGAAGAAGUAUUAUUAAAUUUCUCUUCAAACACAAUUUGUUUCCUUUCAUUGCUUCUACCAUAAUCAACAUCCUCAAUUAAUUGGACAUGUUCUGUUUAAAAAAUGAUAUGAUUGAGGGGCCGUAAAACUUAAAACUUCUCAACCUUUUCGAGUAACUUACAAAGUAGCAUUUAACAAUUCUUGGAUUUGGUUUCUUUUUAGGGCAAAAAACUUAAGUAUACAUAUUAAGUAUCAUAAUUACGACUAUAUAGCAAUAAUUUUUUUCCCACCUAAAUAGCAUUAGUUUUUUUCAAAGUUAUGUUUUAAUAAUAAAAAAAAGUAUUUAAAAAAAAACACGUUAAAUGAGUGCUCCAUGAUUUACGCCGUUCCCCUUUUUUUCUCAAAUUUUUUACCUUCCACUAUUUGCUCAGAUUGGUUAUAUAUAUUCUCUCCUAACAAUAAAAGGUUUCUUAACAAAAAUAAAAAUCUCUUACUACUCAUUCUGGACGCACUUCAAUCAUGGAUACCAACAAUUAUUCAAUCCUAAUUCACCAUAAAGGACGUUGGGAAGCAUCAGGUAAUAUUGAUAAAUCAAAAUUUGAUUGGUAUUUUUUAAAGUGAUUUUUCUAUGUGGAAAUCAUGAUCGUUAUGUUGGAUAUGAUUUUUUUUGUUACAAUCUAACAAACGACGUUAAAAAUGGUGUAAUUUCGAUAGCAACGUUGACUGCUAAUGUAAAAAGCAUUAAUUAAGAUUGGAAAGAUCCAAUGUAAUUUAUAUUUAAAGUAUUUGACCAGCUUUUGAUGUGAUUAAGAUUCACAUUUUAUAAGCACUGCCCAAUCAGAACACACAUGAUUAUAUAAAGAAAAAAUUACCCCACGUAUAUAUUUAAAAAAUAAUAUUACGGAUUUUAAAUCUACUUUUAAAAUAUUACUACUUAUAACAUUUUAAUUGUGAGUUAUAACAUAUCAUUUUUUAUUAAAAAAUAAUUAAUUCAUUUUUAUUAAAUAAUUAGUCUUUUUAUAAUUAUAUUUUAUAAAUUAAUUAAUAGGUUAUAUAAAUAAAAUUAAAAUAAAGAAUCAAUCAUAAUUAUCUAAUACACAUUUUUAGGGAUUUUUUACUUUUCAAAUACACUUUUUUUACUGUCACAAGUCAACUAUCCACCCCCACCACGUUUCUAUCCAAUUCUCACGCUAUCACCCCUACCCCACCCCCACGUUCAAACUGUCUUCUUCUUCACUGUUCAACCGUAAAUCUCUCUCACCAUAUUCUUCUCUGUUCACUCAAAAGAGAAUCAAAUCUUCAUCAAAGUACUAAGAAACUAAUAAACAUGUCAAAGAACACUCAUAGAAAAGGGCAAAAAACUUAAGUAUACAUAUUAAGUAUCAUAAUUACGACUAUAUAGCAAUAAUUUUUUUCCCACCUAAAUAGCAUUAGUUUUUUUCAAAGUUAUGUUUUAAUAAUAAAAAAAAAUAUUUUAAAAAAAAACACGUUAAAUGAGUGCUCCAUGAUUUACGCCGUUCCCCUUUUUUUCUCAAAUUUUUUACCUUCCACUAUUUGCUCAGAUUGGUUAUAUAUAUUCUCUCCUAACAAUAAAAGGUUUCUUAACAAAAAUAAAAAUCUCUUACUACUCAUUCUGGACGCACUUCAAUCAUGGAUACCAACAAUUAUUCAAUCCUAAUUCACCAUAAAGGACGUUGGGAAGCAUCAGGUAAUAAUGAUAAUCAAAAUUUGAUUGAUGUUUUUUAAAGUGAUUUUUCUACGUGGAAAAUCAUGAUCGUUAUGUUGGAUAUGAUUUUUUUUGUACAAUCUAACAAACGACGUUAAAAAUGGUGUAAUUUCGAAUCUUUAAUUAAUGGUUUUUGUUGUUGUUGUUCAGCAAUUUCGUAGUUUUUUUUGGGGGGGUAAUUUUUCUUUUGUUUGUUUUCUAGGGUCUGUAGGUUAAGAUAGAAGUAGUUUUAGUGCUUAUGGUUAGUAAAUUGCUUAAAUAAUUGUUUCUAAAUAUUGAACAUUUUGGUUGUACCGUGUGGUGUAUUUCUGAUUUUUAAGGUGUCAUUCAGAAUGUUAAUGAUGGUGUGCAUAUUGAUUAUAUUUUGGUAGAUAAUUUGGACUGUUAAGUUAUUGGGUGAAAAUGAUAGUUUUUAAUUGGUGUCAUUCAGUUUGUUGUUUUUUCGGUACAUAAUGAUGGUGUCAUAUUAAUUCUAUUUGUUUGAAUAUUUUAGAUUGGUAAGUUAUUUGGUGUAAUUGAUCGUUUUUAUUUACUAAACAUAAUGGUCUGCCAGUUUGCUUAGAUUCUAAUUUUUAUGGUAUUUUUCAUAGUGGUGUUUUUGGUACAUAAUGAUGGUGUUCAUAUUUAUUCUGCUUGGUAGAUCAUUUGGAUAACUCAAAAAAUAACUUAAUAGUGUAAUUUAUGAAUUUUGUGGUACAUAUAUUGAAUAAUUAUUGGANNNNNNNNNNNNNNNNNNNNNNNNNNNNNNNNNNNNNNNNNNNNNNNNNNNNNNNNNNNNNNNNNNNNNNNNNNNNNNNNNNNNNNNNNNNNNNNNNNNNNNNNNNNNNNNNNNNNNNNNNNNNNNNNNNNNNNNNNNNNNNNNNNNNNNNNNNNGGUGUGCUUAUUGUGAAAUAACACAAAUAUUGAUAAAAAUUGAAUUGAAAACAUUACUUAGAGUAAAUAUUUUUUUGUUUGGAACCAAAAUUAAUACACAUCAUUAACGUAAAUUUUUUGGUAUAAUUUUGGAGUAGUACUGAAAAAUGUUAACAAAAAUGGAUGUAGAUAAUGGCUAUCACGUACCGAUUUGGUGUACUUCUGGUAAAAUUGGCACAAGUAUUGGUAAUAAAUGAGGGGUAUAUACUAGAUGAUAUUCUGGUAUAAUAUUCCAACCUGAAACAUUGACUACACUUAAAGCUAGUUAAAGUGAAAAGUUUGGUUUAUAUUAGACAUCAUUAACGUAAGAAAUUAUGUAUAAUAAUGCUAAAAAUGUUUAAAAUAAUAGUUGUACUAUAAAUACCCAACACAUACACAAUUGGUAUAGUUGUGUAAACAAAAAUUAUAGUAAAAAUUGGUGUAUAUAAUGGUUGAUAUUCUAGUAAUUUAUACCUACAUGAAACAUUGAAUAUGAAACCACUACUUAAAGUAAAGGAUUCUAUUUUGAAUAAAAUGUUGGUAUUACAUGCCAACAUCAUACAUCGAAUCUUUCAACUACUACUUACGUUAAAACAUGUAAUAAUGCUGGUAUAUAGUGUCUGACAUGUUGGUAUUAUAUACCAAUCUCACACAUAGUUAUAUUAUAUACCAAAAACACACAUUUUUGUUGAAAUGUUCUAUUAUAAACCAAACUCACAAUAAGUUCUCACAAAAAAUUAACCAACAUAAUGAACCAAAUAGAGGUAGUUAAACUCCAAAAUAAACACAAUAUCCAACAAUGAUAUUCUGAUAAUGUAUACCAACAUGAAACAUUGAAAAUGAAGAAUAUGGAGAGUUUAGACGUUUGGGAAGGAAAUUUCCUAGAAACUAUAACUCAACUAUGGCUACAUCAACUUUAUUGGUAACAUAAAAAGUUAUAUAAAAAAAGAAAGAAAAUAAAUAUGAUCCCAAUAAUAAUCAAUGAAACGUGUAGAUAUGGGACUAUAAUAGGAGAGAUAAUAUUGGAAAAUUUUAAUAUCCUAAUUAUACUACACAUUAAAUGCACGUUAAUAAAAAAGCAUGAGAGAGAAAAAUUUGGAAAAAUAAAUAAACUUAAAAACGAAAAUCAAUUAAUUUGCUAUGUAUGUAAUUUAAAAGCUAUGUUUGUAAUUAAAUAGAAGUACAUUGAUAUUUUGUUAAUUAAAGUCUUAAGUAGUAUACUUUUGUAAUAAAUAUUUUUGGGAAUAUAUUUUUAUUGAUAUGUUUUAUAUAAUUAUAAUUAAAUAAUAUCAUUAGAUACUAAAAUAUUAUAAAAAAACAAAUAAAAUGAUUAAAACUUAGUAAGAAUUGGGCGGAUUGAGUUUUAACCCAUUUUAAUCCAAGUAAUUUUUGGGCAAGCUAAUAAGUAAUAACAUGUCAAUUUAUUAAGGGCAAAAAACUUAAGUAUACAACUUAAUAACUUUAAUUACAUGAAUAUAGCAAUACUUUUUUUUUUUCAAUUGAAUAGCAAUAUUUUUUUUUCAAAAUUGGAAUUCUUAUAAAAAAAUAAAUAAAAAAAACGUUUUCAACCACAAUUAUCCAUAUCCCUUAAAUUUCUCCAAUUAUUUUACCUUCCCUGAUUUACUUCAAUUUGUUAUAUAUCAUAUCCCAUAAAGAAAGGUUUCCUACAAAAAUAAAACUUCUCUUCCAAACUAAGAUCGGCGAUCAAAUAUGCAGAUCAAUAAUUUUUCAAUUUUAAUUCAUCACAGCGGACGUUGGGACUCAUCAGGUAAUCCUUUUGGUAGUAAUUCCUUUGAUUUUGUCAAAUUUGGUGGAAUAUACGUUCAUAAGAUUUUGGUUAAUGUUCUGGUGCAACUGUAAAAAGGUUAAAUUAUUAAAUAGAUAUUAAGAUUUAGCAAUUGUUUGUGGAAUAUUAUUAGGAUUUUAACAUAAUCUACGUUUUAAUUCUUCUUUGUAUUUAUUCGUUGUUUUAUAUUAACGUUUUUAUAGUUUUUAAUUUGUGAACAUAAUGGUCUGCCAGUUUGGUGUAAUUCAGAUAUUAUUGGUGUCAUUCAGAGUGGUGUUUUUUGGUACAUAAUGAUGGUUUGCAAAUUAAUUCUAUGUUGGUUGAAUAUUUUAGAUUGAUAAGGUAUUUGGUGUAAUGUAUCGUUUUAUUUGGUGUGAUUCUGAUUUUUUGGUGUCAUUCAUAGUGGUGUAUUUUUAGUACAUAAUGAUGGUGUGCAAAUAAAUUCUAUGAAACCAGUUUUAUUGAUUAUAUUUUUUGGUAAGUUAAUUGGUAAAAAUGAUCGUUUUUUAUUAGUGAACAUAUUGAUCUUACAGUGUGGUGUAAUUAUGAUUUUUUUGGUGUCAUUCAAAAUGGUGUAUUUUAGAAAAUAAUGAUGGUGUGCAUAUUGAUAGUAAUUUUGGUAGAUAAUCUGGAUUGUUAAGUCAUUUGGUGAAAAUGAUAGUUUUUAAGUGGUGAACAUAAUGGUCUGCCAGUUUGGUGUAAUUCGGGUAUUAUUGAUGUCAUUCAGAGUGGUGUAUUUUAGUACAUAAUGAUGAUUUGCAAAUUAAUUCUUUGUUGGCUGAAUAUUUUAGAUUGGUAAGUUAUUUGGUGUAAAGUAUCGCUUUUAUUUGGUGUGAUUCUGAUUUUUUGGGGGUCUCUUAGUGGUAUUUUUUUUAGUACAUAAUGAUGGUGUACAUAUGCAGUUGCAGCUAUCAAAUAUAGAAACAAAUACCGCAAAGAUUAUUGUUCCUCCUAUUAUAGUAAUAAGAAUUUUCAAGAUACUUAUGUAAUUUGAAUAGAACCAUUGCCUUGCGAAAGCACUUGGAAUAUUCCAUCGCAUAUUUUGGAAGAGGUAAUGCUACCACCAAUUGCAAGAAAACAACCAGGCAGACCACCAAGUAACGACCGUAAGAAGGGAUUCAACGAAGGAAAAUACAAGAGGAGUAAAGUCACUUGUAGUAAAUGUGGUACAUCAGGGCAUAACAAAAAGACUUGCCUCAAAUUUGCUUGUCAGAAUUAACAUUGUUGUAUUAUUUUCAAUUAUUACUGUUGAUGUUUUCUUCCAACAGUUAAGAAUUUUUUAAAACUGAUAAAUGCACUUUUAUCCAACUUUAAUUACUCUUGAAUUGACAUUUCUUUGGUAUUCUCUUGUUUGGCAUACAUGUUUGGUAUUCUCGUGCUUGUCAUAUAAUGUUGCAUUCUGGGUGACUUAGAUAAUUGACAACAUGUUCAAAAAAUAUAUGCUAUAACUUAUGAGUGAAUAUAAGUGUAACAUACAAAUAAAUCUACCACAAUUGGUGUACUUAUGGUGAAAAAAGAACAUUGAAUACAAUUAAAGCUAGUUAAAGUGAGUGUUUGAUUUAUAAUAGACAUCAUUAACGUAAUAAUUUGAUAUGAUAUUUGAAUAAUGCUAAAAAAUGUUUAAAAUACUGGUUGAUUGUGCUAUCUAAUACCCAGAAUGUACACAAUUGGUAUAGUUGUUUAAACACAAAUAACGAUAAAAAUGGAUAAAUAUAUUGGUUGAUAUUCUGGUAAUAUAUACCAAAACAUUGAAAAUGCUAAAAAAUAUUUAAAACAAUGAUUGGUUGUAUUAUAUAAUACCCAGAACAUACACAAUUGGUAUAGUUGUUUAAACACAAAUAAUGACAAAAAUGGGUAAAUAUACUGGCUGAUUUUCUGAUAACAUAUACCAACCUAAAACAUUGAAUCUGAAAACCACUACUUAAAAUAAAAGAUUUUGGUUUGAAUGAAAUGUUGGUAUUAUAUACCAACAACAUGCAUCGAAUAUUUUAACAACUACUUAAGAUAUAAUAUGUAAUAAUGCUAGUAUAUAGUGUCUGACAUGUUGGUAUAACAUACCAAUCUCACACAUUGUUAUACAAUCUAUACCAAUCACACACAAAUUAUGUUGAAAUGUUCUAUUAUAAAUCAAAUUCGGAGUCCUAUCCAUGGCGAAACUAUGGUGAAUCGGAUGGUAUAGAUGGAAAGAAGAAGAUGGAAGGGUUAAAUUUUUUGAACAGAAGAAUAUGGAAGGGCUUAGACGUUUGGCAGAAAAGAAAAAUGGUAAAACUUUCCUAGGAACUAUAACUCUCCUAUUGAUAACAACACCAAUUUUAUUGGUAAAAUAAAAAGUUAUAUCAAAAAAGGAAAAAAUAAAUAUGAUCCCUAUAAUAAUCAAUGAAACGUGUAAAUAUUGAACUGUAAUAGGAGAGAUAAUAUUGAAAAAAUUUAAUAUCCCUAAUUAAUCUCCACGUUAAAUGCACAUAAUUCAAAAGGCAUGAGAUAGGAAAAUCUUAAAAAAUAAAUAAACUUAAAUACAAAAAUUAAUUUUUUUGUUAUGUAUGUAAUUUAAAAAUUAUGUUUGUAAUUAAAUAGAAGUAUAUUGAUAUUUUGUUUAUUAAAGUCUUAAGUAGUAUACUUUUGUAAUUUUCACUUCUUUUUAUUAGGCUUUAUAAGGCCUCACCCAGUUCUCUUUACAAAUCUUUCCCUGCCCAGUUCUCUUUUGUCUUUCUCUCAUUCUCGCUUUAUACAAACACAAAUUAUACAAAUUAGAAUGUAUAAUUUGUGUUUGUGUAAAGUGAGAGGGAGAUUUGAUAUACAAAUACAAAUGUUUUAACUCGAUUCAAUUGUAUACAAAUUCAAAUUUUAUGUAGAUAUACAAAUACAAUCAUUGAUACAUAUACAUAAAGUUACAUAUAUACAAUUAUCUAACCGAUAUACAUAUACAAUUGUUAUGAUUUUAUACAAAUGAGAUGCUUGCGAAUCAGAUGUCUGCGAUUUAUACAAAUCAGAUGCUCCACAACAAACUGUAGAGCGCAAAUAGCAAAACUGUAGCUAUAGAGCGCUAAUAUGAUUUUAAUGUUUGUUAUUCCUAAAAUUUCCUCUUAAAAUUUAAUAUUUCUAGAAGUUCAUUAAUUAAUUGAGGCAUAUAGGUAGAAAAAAAUUUUCUUUCUUGAUUUGUUAAAAUGGACAAGUAAAAAGGGUCAACUAAAAAAGGAAAAGUGGACAAGUAAUUAGGAACAAUGGGAGUAUUUAAUUACUACUUCCUUUGCCCAACAAUAAUUGUCCAUUAUACUAAAAAUAGUUGUCCAACAAUACUUAUCCAGUUUAGAAAAUCAAGAGAUAUUUUACCUUUUGUGUCUAUUUUACCCUUGCUAUUACAUAUUAUUUAUCAUCUAACACAUUUUUCAAAAUAUUAAAUUUAAUAAAAUCAAAAGAUAAAAUAAAACUAAAGUAUACAAAUAUAGUGCCUUAAUAACCACUAUAUAACAAUAGUUUUAUUUUUCACCAACAUAGCAAUAGUUUUUUUUCAAAUCUAUGAAAUAGUAUUAUAAAAAAAAACACAGGUAGGGUAGUAAUAUGACCCACAAUUUUCUCCCCUGAUUCUCUCCAUUAUUUUACCUUCCACAAUUUACUCCACUUGGUUAUAUGUCCUCUCCCAUAAAAAAAAAGUUUUUAAACCAAAAUAAACCUUUCUACCUCCCUAUUCUGAAAGAUUAUUCAAUUAUGGAUAUCAAUGGUGUUUCAAUUCCAAUUCAACACAAUGGACAAUGAGACGCAUUGUAACACUCCAAAAAAUAGUAGGUUGAAUUAGAGCCUAAACGUAAGGGUAAAGAUCAUAAAAUGACUCCCCGAAUGUUAAUAAGUCAUUUAGGGUUGAAAUGAGGUUUACAAGGGUCAAAGCCAAGAGGCAAGAGCCAAGGCCAAGACUGCGCCUAGCCUAGGCACACUGCUUCACCCUUCACGAGGGGACCACGAACCAUGGUCCUCACCAUGGGUCGUGAAGGGGGUUCGUGAGCUUACUUGGCCAUGGAAAAUGGCCACCCUUUGGCAUAACAACUACCUCAACUUCACGGAAGGGACCACUACUCGUGGAGCCCUUCGUGAAUGAGACUUGGGCAUGGUGGCAUUGGGGCACAAAGAAGCCUAGCUACUGCUUCACCCUUCACGAGUGUGACCACGAAUCGUGGUCCAUUCCACGACUCGUGAAGGGGCUCGUGAAGAUGCCUUAGGAAAAUGAGCCUUGUGCUCCAAAAUCAAGGGCACUGCCUCACAUUCACGAGCAGGACCACGGGUCGUGGUCCACACCAUGGCUCGUGAAGGUGUCCCAUGGUCCCUGACGAGGUGACUUAAAUGAAGGUUAGUUGGGUCAUUUUCUUUUUAGUCCAAUUAAAGUGAGGUCGUUUUGGGUAGUUUUUAGGGGUACUAUACAAGUUGACUUUAAGUCAAAUUCACCCAAUUUUAGUCAUUAGUUCACAACACCCAAAUAUUCCCAAAAAUCCUCUCCCUCACAAUAUUUCUCUCACUAGAAAUCCUCCAUUGAAGAAGACCAAGAACUUGAAGGCUAGGGCUCAAGAAUCCAUCUUCUCAACUCCAAUUCGUGGGGAUAUCUUCAAUCAAUGUAUGGGGUCUUGAUUCAUGGAAAGCUUUCUUCCCCGAAGACCUAAAACUCUCAAUUUCAAAUUAGUUGAUUCUUCAAAUUCUAGGGUUUUCAAUCUACUACAAGGGUUCUUCCUAAAAACGAUUUCAAUGGGUUAAUUGACUAUUAUUAUGAUUGAAUUGUUGUUUAUUGGUGAUUUUAUGAUAAAAUUCCUCAUGAACCCAUGAAUAUCCUCUUGACCCAAUUUCAUGAAUUGUGAUGGGUGUAUUGAUGCAAGAUGAAUACUAUGAAUUGUGUCUAUGGUAUUUUAGUUAUUGAAAUCAGGUUGUUAUUCAUGCCUAUUGUAGUAUUUCUAGGAGUGAUUGUGAGACACGGCUCAUGACCCUUGAAGGGUAGAUUAUGAGGGUUUGUACAUGUUGAUGAAAAUUAUGUAUGAACUUAUAGUUCACUUAGAAAGUGAAGAUCCUAUGACUAUUGUGUGCAUUGUGGUAUUCUUGAAAGGUAAUUCUCCCCUUACCCCUACAUAUGAUUAUGCAUGAAGGAUGUAUGUAUGUUAUGAUAAGCUCGUUGUGUUGAUUGAAAGGCCAUCCUCAUGAACACACUAUGCACAUGAUGUGAAAGGUUUAUUCACAUAUUGUUGAUUCUAAGGUUGAAAGGCUAAUUCUCACCUAAUUUAUCUAUGAGCUACCAUGAUACCAUGUUGGGUUGAGUUGCUAUUGCAUCCUACCAUGAACAUGAACUUAAGUAAAGACUUAACACGAACUUAAAGGGAAUUAUGCUUAGCACCGAGUGGAUAUGGUUAUGAGACGGAAGCUUUUAUGCAAGUUAGUUCGACUUUCCAACACGAUUAUCUCAUGAGAUAGAAACCUUUUACCUAAGUUAGUCCGGGUUUCUAGAAGCAAUCUCCCUAUCCCUUAACUAUGUGCCGACAUAGGUCUUUAGCUAAUGGAUCCACCUAAAAGCUAAUACAUGUUAGUUCUACCUUAGGCAAGUAGGACACUUUUUUCGGUGUCAAAUUACAUGACACCGGAUUCCAUAUAGCUCACAUGGUCUAUGUCGGUUAAGGCUAUUUUCCCUACAUUGACAAGAUUAUAAAUAUGACACACACUAUACUCAUGACUUCUUAAUAAGCUUUACUUAGUAGGAGUGGGGGUAUGAGACUUCACUUUUACAUUGCACAAGUAGACUUUGCAAGGGGUUGUGGGGUGGUUUCUAAUGCUAUGAAAACGUAUGAAUGUAUGCAUAUAAGUUGAAUGGAUUGUUUCUAUGGAUGACUUUCCUUAUGUACAAGUUAAUGUACAUAACUAUUUCCUUAUCUAUGACUAUUGACUAUGAUGAGAUCCAAGGAUGAUAUGUAUGAAUAAGGUGGCCUCAAAGGGGUAGUUAGUAUGGCUGGUAUUAUGGGAUGCCAACCAUACAUGGCACAAGUAUUCCUUAAGGUUGCUAAGGUGAUGGUUCUAUUAUGUUGAAAAGAUUUAUAUGAUGAAUAUAUUAUGACAUGUGUUUUACCUUAAAAGUGCAUGCUGAUUCUCAAACUUGACAAAUGCAUUCAUUUCAAAUAAAUUGUCCUUUUUUAUUCAUGUUUUAAGGAUUUUUAUGCAUGCUUCCAUAUUUAGUACAUAUUUGUGCUAACCCCAUUUCUUCUACAUUUUCUCCAAAGUGUAGGUUCCGGGCAUAUUAGUGUUUUCUUCCUUGGCUAAGGAUUGGAUUGCUUAUCUCCAAGACUUGUGGUGAGUCCUCACGGUUCAAGGACAAGAGUCUACUAUUCUAGUUACUUUAUUUUUGUUCUAUAUUUGAGACGUUUUCGAUUGUAAAGGGUUGUGACCCUAUCGACAUUCUAUUGUAGUAGAUGGAUUAUGAGAUAGUGUCUAGUUUUCUUACGAUUUAUGAAAGACUUUGAUUGUUAAAAAGUUUUAAAUUCCGCAUCAUUUUCAUUUUCUAUGUAUAUGAUAUUCUAAGGGCUUGUAUGUGACCCAUUUGGGGUCAAGUACUAUGUAUCGCGUCUGGGGUGUAGACUCAGGUUGUGACAAACUUGGAAUCAGAGCAUAAGGUUUUAGAAUUAAUUUUUUGGUUGAUGUCUCAUAAAUCACGUCUAGUAGAGUCUUAUUCAUGAGUGUGAAGCGCGCCACACUUAUGAAUGAGAGGUUAUGUGAUGUUUAGGAAAGUUCACUUCAUUCAUUAUUCCUUAGUCGUGCUUUAGAGUUUUAACUUUAUGCAGUCCUUUUCCUAACCCUUCUCUUGUGUUUAUACGCUAUGAAUACAAGAAGGGUGAAUGCAAGAAGGAUGGAAGAGGAGAAUGUGAAUGAGGGAUUUCCUCCCCAAGCUCCCAAAGAUCCUCAAGCACCUAUUGAUGAGGGGGCUAUGACAAAUGUGGAAAUAAGGGCGGCUCUCCAAACAUUGACUUAAGUCAUGACGGCUCAAGCUCAAGCCGUGACAACUCAAGCCCAAGCUAUGACGGCCCAAGCCAACCGAAAUGUUGGUCCCCGUGUGAAUCCUAAUGUGAGCACCGUGGCUUCAAGGUUGGGAGAUUUCACAAGGAUGAGUCCUCCUAUGUUCUUUGGUUCCAAAGUGGAAAAGGAUCCACAAGGGUUUAUCGAUGAGAUCUAUAAGGUGCUUGAUGCUAUGAGAGUGUCUUCACAAGAGAAGGCGAAAUUAGCCGCCUAUCAAUUAAAGGAUGUGGCUCAAGUAUGGUAUGAGCAAUGGAAGGGUAAGAGAUCCGUAGGAGCGGGAUCGGUAGAAUGGGAAUUGUUCAAGUCAUCCUUUCUUGAUAGAUUCUUUCCCCUAGAGUUGAGGGAACGAAAAAUGCAAGAGUUCAUAAAUCUUCGACAAGGGGGUUUGAGUAUGAAAGAAUAUGCCCUUAAGUUCACUCAAUUGUCUAAAUAUGCUACAACAUUGGUGUCAGAUUCUAGGGACAAGAUGAACAAAUUUGUUAUGGGGAUAUCCGACUUGGUAGUCAAUAAAUGUCGUUUGGCAAUGCUCAUUCCAAGUAUGAAUAUUUCAAACAUGAUGGUUCAUGCCGAACAAAUUGAGGAGCAAAAUCUCAAGCAAAAAUAAAAUUUGAUUCGCCUAUCUAAUUGUGCAAUUUCUGUCUCCUCGCUCCUCUCUUUAUUAAUUGUUUAAAUGUUUAUUAUAUCACCUAGUUUUGCAUGCUUAACUAGUUAAAUAAUGAAUAACUGAAGUAACCUUAAUUGUUAAAUGUCAUUUAUCACUUAGUAAGCAUGUUUAAGUUAAAUAACCUAAAUAAUGAAGUGACCUUAAUUUCUACUUGUAACCCCCACAUAAAUUGCAUGAGAUACGGCCGGGACCCACAUUUAUGGACCUCGAGGGAUGCCUAACACCUUCCCCUCGAGGUAAUUUGAACCCUUACCCGAUCUCUGGUUUGUUUGACCUUAAGUUUAAUUAGUUAGGUUAGAUAGGUGCCUUAAUGCGCCUUAAUUCGUUAGGUGACGACUCUUCAAUCCAACCCAAAAUCCCAAAAGAGUUGUUAGGUCGAAGUCCAUUUUUGCGAAAAAAUGGGGCGCGACAGGGAGAUUGUCCCAUGCUCAAGGUCCAAGGAAGAGAGAACAAGCAAAAUCCUCCAAGUGGUUCAAAUUUCGAUGCUCCCAAGAAGAACCACUUUUAUGCUCUUCAAGCUAGAGGUGACCAAGAAAGCUCCCCGAAUGUGGUUAUGGGUAUGUUGAAAGUUUUUCUUAUUGAUGUCUAUGCACUUUUGGACCUCGGUGCCACUCUAUCUUUUGUGAUGUCUUAUGUGUCAAUGAGGUUUGAUGUUCCUCCGGAAGAAUUAUUAGAACCCUUUUCGGUUUCUACCCCAGUUGGUGACUCCGUGGUGGCUAAGAGGGUGUAUAGAAUAUGUCUCAUUUCCUUGUCCCAUAGAGUUACUCUAGUUAACUUGGUAGAACUUGACGUGCUUGAUUUUGAUGUGAUUCUUGGUAUGGAUUGAUUGCAUGCUUGUUAUGCUUCUAUUGAUUGUAGAACCCGGGUGGUUAGAUUUCAAUUUCCAAAUGAACCUAUUUUAAAGUGGAAGGGUGGAAAUUCUAUGCCUAGAGGUCAAUUGGUUUCUUGUCUUAAAGCUAGGAAAAUGAUCUCCAAAAGGUGCAUUUACCAUCUUGUAAGGGUAAAGGAUGUUGAAUCUGAAACCCCUCCUCUAGAGUAGGUUUCGGUUGUGAGUGAGUUUUCGGAUAUUUUUCCCAAUGAUUUUCUCGGUAUUCCUCCCGAACGGGAAAUAAAUUUUGGUAUUGACGUUAUCCCGGAUGCGCAACCUAUCUUGAUUCCUCCUUAUAGAAUGGCUCUGGUGGAGUUGAAGGAGUUGAAAGAACAAUUAAAAGAUUUGCUUGACAAGGGUUUUAUGCGACCAAUCAUCUCUCCAUGGGGUGCUUCGGUAUUGUUUGUUAGGAAUAAGGAUGGAACUCUUAGAAUGUGUAUUGAUUAUCUGCAAUUGAACAAGGUAAGCAUUAAGAACAAGUAUCCACUUCCUAGAAUUGAUGACUUAUUUGACCAACUUCAAGGGGCUAGCUACUUUUGCAAAAUAGACCUUCGUUCGGGAUAUCACCAACUAAGGGCAAGAGGGGUUGACAUUCCCAAGACGGCUUUCCGAACUAGGUAUGGGCACUAUGAGUUCCUUGUGAUAUCAUUUGGUCUAACUAAUGCCUCGGUGACAUUUAUGGACCUUAUGAAUAGGUUUUUUCGGCAAUAUUUCGACAUGUUCGUCAUUGUGUUUAUCGAUGAUAUCUUGAUCUAUUCUAGAAGUGAGAAUGACCAUAUGGACCAUUUGAGAAUUGUGUUGCAAGUCCUCAAGGAUCAUCAAUUAUUCACAAAGUUUAGUAAAUGCGAGUUUUGGCUAAGGUAUGUGGCAUUCCUAGGUCACAUUGUGUCAAGCAAGGGUACAGAGGUAGAUCCAAAGAAGACGAACUCGGUCAAGAGUUGGCCUAGACCUCUAUUACCAACCGAUAUUAGAAGCUUCUUGGGUUUGGCCGGCUACUAUAGGAGGUUUGUUGAGGGAUUUUCCUUUAUUGCUUCUCCUUUGACGGCUUUAACUCAAAAGAAGGCUAAAUUUGUGUGGUCGGAGGCUUGUGAGAAAAGCUUCCAAGAAUUGAAAGAUAGGCUUACAUCCGCUCCGGUAUUGACCUUGCCGAAGGUACCGAUGGUUUCGUUGUAUAUUGUGACGCUUCUAGAGUGGGUUUGGGAUGUGUCCUUAUGCAACAUGGGAAAGUAAUUGCCUGUGCUUCAAGGCAACUCAAGAUACAUGAGAAGAACUAUCCGACUCAUGAACUCGAGUUGGUGGCGGUAGUAUUUGCUUUGAAAAUAUGGAGACAUUAUCUAUAUGGGGUGCAUGUUGAUGUGUUCACCGACCGCAAAAGUCUCCAAUAUGUGUUUAGCCAAAAAGACUUGAAUCUCCGACAAAGAAGGGGGUUAGAACUUUUGAAGGAUUGUGAUAUGAAUGUCCUUUAGCACCCUGGCAAAGCCAAUGUAGUUGCCGAUGCCCUAAGUCGAUUGUCCAUGGGUAGUGUAGCCCAUGUGGAAGAUGAGAAGAAUGAGCUAGUUCGUGAUGUUCAUAGAUUGGCCCGGUACAACUAAUGGAUUCCACCAAGGGUGGUGUCACGGUCCAUAAUGCCUCCCAAUCUUCCUUUGUAAUGGAUGUCAAGGCAAAACAAGAACUUGAUCCUAUUCUAGUUGAAUUGAGAGAGUCGGUACUCAACAAGUCCGUUGAGGAUUUUCCCAAGGGGGAGAUGGGGUUCUUAGGUACCAAGGUCGAUUAUGUGUUCUGGAUGUUGAUGGCUUGAGAGAGAAAAUUUUAGAUGAAGCUCAUGGUUCGAGGUAUUCUAUUCAUUCGGGAGCCACCAAGAUGUACCGUAACCUACGGAAAGUCUAUUGGUGGAAUGGUUUGAAGAAGGAUAUAACGGAUUUUGUAGCCAAAUGUCUGAUUUGUCAACAAGUUAAGGCCGAACACCUAAGACCGGGAGGCUUGUCUCAAGAUAUAGAUAUUCCCACUUGGAAGUGGGAGGAUGUGAACAUGGACUUUGUUGUGGGUUUGCCUCGUACUUGAAGGCAACAUGAUUCUAUUUGGGUCAUUGUCGAUAGAAUGAAAAAAAUCCGCCCACUUUAUUCCCGUCAAGGUUUCCUUUUCGGCGGAAGACUAUACCAAAUUGUACAUCAAAGAGAUAAUGAAUAGUGAAGUUACAUGGGGUUCCUCUUUCUAUUAUUUUGGAUCGGGGUACUCAAUUUACUUCACACUUUUGGAAGGCAUUCCAAAAAGGGCUUGGUACUAAUGUUAAGCUUAGCACGACUUUUCAUCCUCAAACCGAUGGUCAAGUGAAACGUACCAUCAAAAUCUUAGAAGAUAUGUUUAGGGCAUGUGUUAUUGACUUCAAAGGUAGUUGGGAUGACCAUCUUCCAUUAAGAGUUUGCCUACAAUAAUAGCUACCACUCAAGUAUUACCAUGGUUCCUUUUGAAGCAUUGUAUGGUAGGAGGUGUAGAUCUCUGGUUGGUUGGUUUGAAGUAGGUGAGAUUGCUCUACUUGGUCCCGAACUAGUUUAUGAGGCUAUUGAAAAAAUCUGACUCAUUAAAGAGAGGUUAAGGAUGGCCCAAAGUCGGCAAAAGUCUUAUGCCGAUGUUAGAAGGAGGGACCUAGAGUUUGAAGUCAAUGAUUGGGUCUACUUGAAAAUCUCACCUAUGAAAGGUGUGAUGAGGUUUGGCAAAAAGGGGAAACUUAGUCCCCGGUAUGUGGGUCCCUAUAGAAUUUUGAAGCGUAUUGGGAAAGUGGCCUAUGAGUUAGACUUGCCAAAUGAAUUGGCUCCGGUUCACUCGAUAUUUCAUGUUUCUAUGCUAAAGAAGUGCAUUGGUGACCCGGUGUCCAUCAUUCCUUUAGAAGGUUUGGGGAUUGAUAAGAGUCUUUCAUAUGAAUAGAUUUCGAUAGAGAUCUUAGAUCGGAAAGUUAAAAAGGUUGAGGAAUAAGGAAGUAGCUUCCGUUAAGGUUUUAUGGAGGAAUCAUUUAGUUGAGGGUGCUACAUGGGAGGCCGAGGCCGAUAUGAAGUCCCGAUGUCCUCAUAUUUUUCCUUCUACUCCUAUCCAAGCUUGAGGUAAGUAGUUUCUCUUGAGUUUAGUGUUUUGGGAGUCAUGUGUGUUUCAUGUGUUUUUUAUAUGAUUUCCUUAUGAUUGUAUGUCCUUGUGAGAAUUCAUGUUUAGUUUAAAAUGAGUGUUCAUGAUAUAUAUAUAUAUAUAUAUAUAUAUAUUCCUCAUGUUGUUGUGCAUUUUAGUAUGAUGAUUGCAUAUUUGACUUCAUGAGACGAUUUGAUGAACAUGUUAUGCUAUACUUGUGAUGAUAUGGCAUAUUGGCUCCAUAAUGUUGUGUUGAGCUUAUUCUAGUUGAAGAAGGUAGUUCCUCCUAUGCUUAUGUGAAAAGAUGAGUUUUGUGCAUAAUGGGUUGUAGAUGUAGUUCCUACUUCCUUGUAUUGCAUUGAUUAUGUCUUGAGAUGGAGUUGAUGUUUCCUCCUUUGAAUUAUGCAUUAUUUUGAUGUUGCUUAUUCGAUGGGAUGCUAGUCUUGAGUCUUUAAUUCCGUAAGGUGUCUAAAUUUUCAUUUGAGGACAAAUGUUCCCAAGGGGGAGAUAAUGUAACAAUCCGGAAAAUGGUAGGUUGAACUAGAACCUAAACGUAAGGGUAAAGAUCAUAAAAUGACUCUCCGAAUGUUAAUAAGUCAUUUAGGGUUGAAAUGAAGUUUACAAGGGUCAAAGCCAAGAGGCAAGUGCCAAGGCAAAGGGGCUAAGCCAAGGCCAAAGGCCAAGGCUGCCCCUAGCCUAGGCACACUGCCUCACCCUUCAUGAGAGGGACCACGGACUGUGGUCCUCACCAUGGCUCAUGAAGCUUAAUUGGCCAUGGAAAAAUGGCCACCCUUUGGCAUAGCCACUGCCUCAACUUCACGGAAGGGACCACGGCUCAUGGAGCCCUUCGUGAAGGAGACUUGGGCAUGGUGUCUUGGGGGCAUGAAGUAGCGUAGCUAAUGCCUUACCCUUCACGAGUGUGACCACAGAUCGUGGUCCACUCCACGACUCGUGAAGGGGCUCGGGAAGAUGCCUUAGGCAAAGGAGCCUUGUGCUCUAAAAUCAAGGACACUGCCUCACCUUCACGGGCAGGACCACGGAUCGUGGUCCACACCACGACUCGUGAAGGUGGCCCGUGGUCCCUGACGAGGUGACUUUAAUGAAGGUUGUUAGUUGGGUCAUUUUCUUUUUAGUCCAAUUAAAGUGAGGUCGUUCUGGGUAUUUUUAGGGGUACUAUAUAAGUUGAUUUUAAGUCAAAUUCACCCAAUUUUAGUCAUUAAUUCACAACACCCAAAUAUUCCCAAAAAUCCUCUCCCUCACAAUAUUUCUCUCACUAGAAAUCCUCCAUUGAAGAAGACCAAGAACUUGAAGGCUAGGGCUCAAGAAUCCAUCUUCUCAACUCCAAUUCAUGGGGAAAUCUUCAAUCAAGGUAUUGGGGUCUUGAUUCAUGGAAAGCUUUCUUCCAUGAAGCCCUAAAACUCUCAAUUUCAAAUUAGUAGAUUCUUCAAAAUCUGGUUUUCAAUCUACUACAUGGGUUCUUCCUAAAAACGAUUUCAAUGGGUUAAUUGACUAUUAUUAUGAUUGAAUUGUUGUUUAUUGGUGAUUUUAUGAUAAAAUUCCCCAUGAACCCAUGAAUAUCCCCUUGACCUAAUUUCAUGAAUUGUGAUGGGUGUAUUGAUGCAAAAUGAAUACUAUGAAUUAUGUCUAUGUUAUUUUAGUUAUUGAAAUCAUGUUGUUAUUCAUGCCUAUUGUAGUAUUUCUAGGAGUGAUUGUGAGACACGGCUCAUGACCCUUGAAGGGUAGAUUAUGAGGGUUUGUACAUGUUGAUGAAAAUUAUGUAUGAACUUAUAGUUCACUUAGAAAGUGAAGAUCCUAUGAUUAUUGUGUAAAGUGUGGUAUUGUUAAAAGAUCAUUCUCCCCUUACCCUUACACAUGACUUUGUAUUAAUUGUCUAGGAUGAUGAUAAUGUUGUUGUGUUGAUUGAAAGUAUGUAUGUUAUGAUAAGCUCGUUGUGUUGAUUGAAAGGCCAUCCUCAUGAACACAUUAUGCACAUGAUGUGAAAGGUUUAUUCACAUAUUGUUGAUUCUAAGGUUGAAAGGCUAAUUCUCAUCUAAUGAAUCUAUGAGCUACCAUGAUACCAUGUUGGGUUGAGUUUCUAUGGCAUCCUACCAUGAACAUGAACUUAAGUAAAGACUUAACACAAACUUAAAGGGAAUUAUGCUUAACACCGAGUGGAUAUGGUUAUGGGAUGGAAGCUUUUACACAAGUUAGUCCGUCUUUCCAACACGAUUAUCUCAUGAGAUGGAAACCUUAUACCUAAGUUAGUCCGGGUUUCUAGAAGCAAUCUCCCUAUCCCUUAACUAUGUGCCCAUAUAGGUCUUUAGCUAGUGGAUCCACCUAAAAGCUAAUACAUGUUAGUUCUACCUUAGACAAGUAGGACACCUUCUUUCGGUGUGGGGUUACAUGACACCGGAUUCCAUGUAGCUCACAUGGUUUAUGUCGGUUAAGUCUAUUUUCUCUACAUGAAAAGAUUAUGAAUAUGACACGGACUAUAUUCAUGACUUCUUAAUGAGCUUUACUUAGUAGGAGUGGGGGUAUGAAACUUCACUUUUACAUUGCACAAGUAGACUUUGCAAGGGGUUGUGGGGUGGUUUCUAAUGCCAUGAAAAUGUAUGAAUGUAUGCAUAUAAGUUGAAUGGAUUGCUGCUAUGGAUGACUUUCCUUAUGUUCAAGUUAAUGUACAUGACUAUUUUCUUAUCUAUGACUAUUGACUAUGAUGAGAUCCAAGGAUAAUAUGUAUGACUAAGGAGGCCUCAAAGGGGUACUUAGUAUGGUUGGUAUUAUGGGAUGCCAACCAUACAUGGCACAAGUAUACCUUAAGGUUGCUAAGGAAAUGGUUCUAUUAUGUUGAAAAGAUUUAUAUGAUGAAUAUGUUAUGACUUGUGUUUUACCUUAAAAGUGCAUGGUGAUUCUCAAACUUGACAAAUGCAUUCAUUUCAAAUAAAUUGUCCUUUUUUAUCAUGUUUUAAGGAUUUUUAUGCAUGCUUGCAUAGUUAGUACAUAUUUGUGCUAACCCCAUUUCUUCUAAAUUUUCUCCAAAGUGUAGGUUCCGGGCAUUGAAAUGUUUUCUUCCUUGACUAAGGAUUGGAUUGCUUAUCUCCAAGACUUGUGGUGAGUCCUUAUGGUUCAAGGACAAGAGUCUACUAUUCUAGUUACUUUCUUAUUGUUCUACUUUUGAGAUGUUUUCGAUUGUAAAGGGUUGUGACCCUAUUGACAUUCUAUUGUAGUAGAUGGAUUAUGAGACAGUGAUUAGUUUUGUUACGAUUUAUGAAAAAGACUUCGAUUUUUAAAACGUUUUAAAUUUCAUAUCAUUUUCAUUUCCUAUGUAUAUGAUAUGCUAAGGGCUUGUAUGAGACCCCUUCGGGGUCAAGUACACCGUGUCGCGUUUGAGGUGUAGACUCGGGUCGUGACACGCAUCAGGUAUGUAUGAUAACUAACGACUGAAUUUGUGAUUCUUUUAAUCAAUGUAUGUAACAUAUUUGGUGUUUUUAUUUUCUUGAUAGUUAUCUUAUAAUCUAUCUGGUUGGUACAUGUUUUUUGUUACAGGAACUAGGUGUUUAUUUCUUGAAUUCUAAUUCGAAAUCGUCCGACCAUAAUAAGAUUGUAUGAUUGUAUAUGACGGUGUAUUUUAAAUCGUUUAAAAACAUCAUUUUUUGAAAUUAAAAUUGGGUAGAUUGUGCAGUGUAAUUAAUAGUGUAUAUUAACUUGUUAUUAAUUUGUCAAUCCGUGAUUAUUUUUAGCAUCUGUUUUGGUGUAAUUGUGAGGAUUUUUUAAGUUGAUUAUGAAAUCCAAAUUUAGUGAUUGUAUUUUGGAAGAUGAUUUUGUCAAAUUAAUAGUCUAUUUUAAGUCGUGUAUUAACGCCAAAUUAUGUGAAUAUUUUUAGAUAAAUUAGUAGGUGUAAUUGAUAGUGUAUUUGCUAUAAAUGAUCUGGUGUAAAAUUGUAAAUUAGGUUUUUAAUAAGCACCAACAUUCGUUAUUUUUGGUAUAUUUUCUGGUGUAAUUGAUAUAUUUUUGGUACAGUUAUUGAAGUAAUUGUUAGAUUUUAGGUCUUUUGUAAACAUCAUAUUUGAGAUAUAUGAAUUUAUUGUUAAUGACUUUGUAGUCUUUCGUGUAUUUGAUUUUUGGUUGAAUUAAGGCAUAUCGAUGUGCUGGUGAAUUUGAUAUAGUUUAGAUAAUUUAUUUAUAUAUAUACACCAAAUUUGCUUGGUGUAUGUGUAUGUGUCUGUGGUAUAUCUAGUGUUUUUGAUAAAAUUAUGGUGUAUAUUUUGGUGUAGAUCAUAUAUUAUUAAUCAUAUUUAACCAUAAUAUGCACCACUUAGUUUAUGUACUACUUUGUUUAAUCAUAAUAUGCACCACUUUAUAUAUGAUUUUUUUUUGGUGAUACAAAAAAACUUAACUAUCUAUUUCAAAUUUCACUGUUAAAAUUUGUGUUUAGUAUGUUUUUUAACUUUUCGUUGAAAUGUAUCGCAGGAAGGUAUGUGGAUUUCAAGACCAAAGAAAUUAUUUAUGAUGCAAACACUAAUUACGACAUCGUAAUUAAGGUUGCAAAAAAAUCAAUUGAAUAUAUUUUUGUGAUGUAAAAUUAUGAUUUCUAUAUGUAUUUAAUGUAAUUGUUUGAUAUGUUGGUAUUGCUUUGUAAAACAACAUCAUAGAUACAAUACUUUGUAAUUUAUUUAUUUUUACGAAUGAAAAUUUUAUCAAAAAUACUAAUGAUCUUUUCAUAUUUUUUUGUCUAGUUAUUCAUUAAUUUGAUGAUAAUAAUUGAUAGAUAGUUGAUCGCAUUAUCGUAUAAGACAUAAUACAAUUGAAACAUAUAACAAAAAUCAAUUUUACAACACGUGAUUUGUUAUCAUUGUGGUUAAAACAAUUGUACACCAAACUUAAUCUAUAAUGUACACCACUUAAUAUACACAACUUUUAAUUAAAACUAUAAAAUAAUAUUUUUAGUGUAAUGGUUUAUAAUAUGUAUGAAAUUUGAUUAUAUUUUGGUGCAAGUUAUUCAUUAUGGUUUAAAAAAUAAACACUAAUAUUAAUUCUUUUUGUAUAACUAAAAUAUAUAAAGUUAAAGAGAGAGAAGUAAAAAAAAGAUUUGUCCAAAAAAAUUGAACCGGAAUUGAAGAGAGAGAAAGAAGAGGAGAGAAAUCUUUUUCCAAAAAAUAAGAGAGAGAAAAAAAGGACGUAGUUAAGGAGAGAAAAAUGGUUAUGAUUACAUAGAUGGUACAUAUGUUUGUGUAUUAAAUGGUUGCCAACUUGCCAUGAUAUAACUCUUUGAUAUUACUAUGAGGUAUUAAAUGGUAUAAAAUUACCUAUAACAUUAAAGUAUAUUAUAUUUAAAUUGAAACUAUAUCUAAUUAUAUACCAAUCUAAAUAUGAUUCAGUAAAACCUAAAUAUUUCAAAAAUGGUUAUGUAACAUACAUAUUCCAUAUAUUUAAAAAAGUUUGUUUUCUUUAUGCUACUAAUGAUUUUUUUUUGGGAAAAAAUGACAUAGCAUGACAACCUAUAGACUUUAUUGGCAAUAAAUAGCCCACUUUAAAUUUUUUAUCAAAAAAAGAAUUUUUUAAUAUUUAUUUGGGAUUAAAUAGCCACAUUCUUUUUUUUUUAAAAUGAUAUUUUUUCCUGAUUUUCUCUCUAUUUCCUAGCAAUUAGAGAGAGAAAAUCCUUAUAAUUUGUUCCUUUUUUCUUUUCCUUAUAAUUUGUCAACAAUUUUUUUUUUUAUACGUAUUUUUCAAUUCUUUCUUUCUUUCCUUUUUUUUUUUCUCCCUUUUUCAAGUUUAGGAUUUCUAUCUUUUUCUUUGAAAUAUUUUCAUUAAAGAUCAAUCACAAUAGUAACUUUUCACAACAAGUAACUCAAACCAUACUAAUUUUUUUAAUAUUGAUUGUCUGGGUUAUUUUAAAAAAAAGUUGAGAUUUCUACUUUUUUUAUCUUGUAGUUGGAUGCAAGAUUUUUUCUUUUUACAAAUUUUCGUAUUUGUAUUAUAAUUUUACAACUUUUCUUCGGCCAAAAACUGCAACGUUUCGUGAUUUCUGGAAUUGACAUUUUUUUCAAUUUUUAAUAAAUAAUAAAUUAAUAUAUUUAUGACAAUUUUUUGAAAUAUUGAAUUUCGUUGAUUGAAUUUGAUAAUGAAUAUUUAUUUUAUUAAUAAAUAAUAAAUUAAUAUAUUUGUUAAUGAAUACAAAUGAACAUAUAACAAUGUAAAAUUAUCUAAUUUGUUAAAUGAAUUUCGUUGAUUGCAUUCCAAAAUAGUAAAUGCAAACAACUGUAUACCUAUGUAAAGUUAGAAAGAUACUAAUGCAAACAAAUGUAUACCAAUUUAUAAAUGAAUAUGGACGAAUGUAUCCAAUACAAAUGUAUACCUAUGUAAAAUUUGAAAGAUAUUAAUGCAAAUAAAUAUAAAUGUAUACCAAUUUAUUAUGAAUACUAACAAAUGUAUCCAAUACAAAUGUAUGUCAAUCUAUUAGAUGAAUACGGAUUAAUGAAUACCAAUGCAAACAAAUGUAUACAAAUUUGUUAAAUGAAUAUGGAUUGAGUUCAAAGGCAAAAUAAUUGGCAGGUAAUGAACUCAUAGGAAUACCUUUGAAAUAAGAAUAAUCAUAAUCAAAAUAUUAUUUGCUAAUUUUAAGAAAAAAUAUAAUUCUAAAUAGUAUUUUGCUAGUUUUAAGUGAAAAUGGUUGGAAGAUACGAAACAAAUAUGUUUGUGGGAAGAGAGAGAAAACUUUUUUACCUUUGAAAAGUCAAAAAGUAAAUACUCCUUUCGUUCCUAUUUUAUGUGAGAUAGUUUGAUUCGGCACAGAGUUUAAGAAAGAAAGAAAGAUUUUUAAAAUUUGUGAUCCAAAAUGAAUGAUAGAAAUUUGUGUGGCUGUAAAUCAUUUUAUUAAGGGUAAAAUAGACAUUUUAUAGUUAAAUUGUUACUUAAUAUAGAAAUAUAUCAUUUUUUUUGGGACUGACUAAAAAAUAAAGUAAGUCACAUAAAUUGGGACAGAUGGAGUAAUGAUUAUCAAUCCCAUAAAAUUAGCACAUAACCCCCUUAAAAAGGAAAUAAAUACAGAUACUAAAAUAUAAUUUUUUUUUGGAGAAUUAAAUAUUCUGUUAUGUUUGUAAUUAAAAAUCUAGUUUUGUAAAUAAAAAAGAAUAUAUACAUAUAUUGUUAAUUAAGAUCUUAAAUACUCCCUCCGUCCCAUUUUAUGUGAUGUAGUUUGACUGACACGGAGUUUAAGAAAGAAAGGAAGAAUUUUAAAACUUGUGGUCCAAAAUGAAUGAUAGAAAUUUGUGUAGCUGUAAAUUAUUUCAUUAAGGGUAAAACAGACAUUUUAUAGUAAAAUUGUUACUUAAUAUAGAAAUAUGUCAUUCUUUUUGGGAUUGACUAAAAAUGAAAGUAAGUCAUAUAAAUUGGGACAGAGGGAGUAGUAUGUUUUUGUAAUUUUUUCAUUGUGGAGUAAUAUUAACCCUAUUAUUUAUUACUCCCUCUGUUCAACAAUAGUUGUCCACUAUACUAUUUUGAGAUGUCCAACAAUACUUGUCCACUUUAUGAAAUUAAUGGAUAAUUUUACACUUAGUUCCUAAUUAAUUUCCCUAUUACAUUUUUCAAGACAUUGUAUUUAUUAUAUUCAAAGGGUGAUAUAGUAAAAUUACCGUUCUAUUUAUAAUUUCUUAAGAAGUGUGCCAAAUCAAUAGUGGACAACUAUUGUUGGAUAAAAAUAAUAUUUCUUAAGAGAGUGCCAAGUCAAUAGUAAAUACUCCCUCUGUUUCUAAUUACUUGUCCACUUUUGAAUAGACACACCUAUUAAGAAAAUAAUUAUUGUCAUAGUGAAUUUACUAUUUUAUCCCUAUUAAUUAUGAAGUGGAUGAUUUAAACAACUUAAGAUUUUUAAGAAGUUCUAUAUUUUUCAAAAUAAUUGAUUGAUGGUAUAAUAUAUAAAAAAAAUUGUUCUUUCUUAAUUUGUCAAAAUGGACAACUAAUUAGGGAUAACUAAAAACAAAAAAACAGACAAAUAAUUAGAGACCGAGGGAGUAACUACUAUGGUUGGAAUACUAGUUUUUAUACAUUGGAAAUGAUGAGAAUAAUGAUUAAAGUGUUUGAGUUUGUGUUGCAUGACUCUUCAUCUUCUCCCUCUCCAUUAAAUUAAAUUAUUUUAUUAAUUACUUUACUACUUAUAAAUAAAUAAAUACUGUAAAAGAAACGUAUCUAUCCUCAGACUAGUUUGAAGAUGGAAGAUGGUAGUCCAACAACCUGUUCCCAACCCCAAGGUAUGUAUUUUAGUAUGCAAAUAAGUUACAAACAGCAUUGUUGAUUGUUGGUAUGCAGAUUGUGAGGAAAUGCUAAGGAGAGGAAAAUUGAUGCCUGCUGCUGCGGCUGGUGGUUCAUCUAUUAACAAAAAAAUGAUUAAGAAAAACAGAGCUUCUUCAGAAAAAGUUGGUGCCUGGAGCAAAGAGGAUGAAAUCACAAUCCUAAAGGGACUCAUAAAGUUGAAAACUGAAAAAGGGAAAAAUAGGUUUGAUUAUGUUCAACUUUAUGAGUCCAUUAAACAAUCUGUUGGUCACAAAUCAGCCACAGCACUUCAUUUGCAAAAAAAAGUCAAGUCUCUUAGGGAGAAAUACAAGAACAAUUUAAAGAACAGCAGGACUCCUACCAUCCCACAUGAGGAAGAGUUGUUCUACUUAAGUGACAAAAUUUGGGGCAAGGACGAUCAUCACAUUAUGAACCAACAACUUACAAUUCCUUCUUCCAGUUUGGAUAUGAACCAACAAUUUACAAUUUCUUCUCCGGAAGAAUCUGAUACAACUUUUGUCGGAGACCUAGGGCUAGCGUUAACAACUAUGAGCAGGAAUCAGUCUAAUCCACUGCAAGUAGCUCUUCAACAAUUCAAGUUAGUUUCUCAAAGUUUGAGUAUUAGGAAGAGUUAUGCCAACCAAAUACUCCAGGCCCCAAAAAAGGUAGUAUAUAUAAUCCUUUUCAUUUUCUUAUCAACUAAUGUGAUGGUUUACUAGUUUGUUUUAAAGAUUUUUACGCUUCUCAUGUUAUUAAAUUCCUCUCCUUGGCUUAAAAAUUAAGUUGUGUAUCUGAGUACUGUUGUUGUCUGUGCAAUUUUAUGAUUUAUAUUUUGCUAUGCUAAACUUCUUUGUCUUGGUACCUUCCAAGUGCGUCUAUUUUUUUUUCUUACCAAUAACUUUUAUACAAGGAGGAACUUUCUGAACUAGAGGAACAAAAGAUAGCAAGGAGCUAUUUCGACACAAAGAUACAACAUGCACAAUUGGUUUCAGAUGCCUAUAAUGCUAGCCAUGGUUUUGGUAAGCUUUCUAUCUAGCUAAGAAUAUCUAGUUUUCAUAGUGUGUAAGGGGAAGAUUAAUCUUAUAUUGAUGUUGAUAUAUACUUGUUAUUGCUUGGAAUGAUCUGAAUCUGAAGCACUUUUAGGAGUUAGAUUCAUUGAUGAUCUAACCUAUAAUGCUAGCCAUGGUUUUGGUAAGCCUUCUAUCUAGCUAAGAAUAUCUAGUUUUCAUAGUGUGUAAGGGGAAAAUUAAUCUUAUAUUGAUGUUGAUAUAUACUUGUUAUUGCUUGGAAUGAUCUGAAUCUGAAGCACUUUUAGGAGUUAGAUUCAUUGAUGAUCAAUUGGGGCUUUUAUUUUCAAAUUAAGUAGUGUCUUUUUGUGCAUGAUUCCAGUUUUAAAAAUAGCCGCUGGUGCCAAAUAGGGUUCUGCAUAAGCAUCAACAAGCUUUUCACAUGUGGCGUUUCCUUUCAAGUGGUCUCUUGGGCCUUGCUCUCUUUCUGUUCACUUUAUCGAGUUAUAAGCAAUUAUUUUGUUGUUAGUGAGCUAAAUUAAUUAGGACUAUUUCAACAAACUUCUGGCACCGAAAAAACAAUAAUGAUAUCAAUCCCAAUUGUUAGCCUAACUUUGCCGUCCAUGAUUAGUCCAAAUUAUAUUAAGAUUCGGUCCUUGUUAUCCACAUGCCCUAGAAGUGGUUUUGCCCUAUUCACAAACUUUACGGUGCAUCAAAGAAUAUGUGUUCAGCAGGGGCAUAAAGGAUAGAAAAUAUAGUUUCUGUAGAACUUAUUUCUACAGUUUUGUAGACUUUCUAAUAAAUGCAUAAUACAUAAACAUACUCAAACUUAGCGUCUUAGCCUAACCUGACAAAUAAACACUUAAACUUUGAGAGUGCACAUCUAGACACCUCAACUUGGUCUCAACUAACAACUAAAUACUCCAACUCUACUCCAUUGUGUCUCGUGGACACUCAAAUUUGACAUGACGCAUAAAUAUUAGAGGUGUCUAGAUGAUAAUUUGUAAGUUAGAGUGUUCAACUGUCACACUGGAGAUGAGUUGAGUUGUCUAGAUGUGCCUACUCAAAGUGGGAGUGCUUACUUGCCAACUGAGGUGAAGUGUGAGUGUCAGUUAAUGUAUUAUGCCUUUUAUCUACGCUUUAACUUCAAUUUUGUUAAUUUAUUGUGGAAUGAACCUUUAGGAACUCGAUCCCAACUGGAUUCAUUCCUUCAUUUGAAAGAACCAUACUAAAUUAACCUUCAUAGAACAUAUCACCAAAUUCAUUUUUCUGGUAAUUUCAUACUUAUUUGCUAAUGGGAAAAGAAAUGAACAAGUUGUCCCCUAAAUAGGGGUAACAAUCCUUAGGGACUCCUAACCUUAAACAUCUAGCCCUUUCUGAUUUUGCGUGAUCAGGUCCAUCUACAUGAAACUUUGCGAUGUAGUUUGGCAUAACUUCUUCAGUAGGGGUCACAUAAGUGAUGGUACUAACAAUUGGAUUUGGUGUCUGUCUGGCUAGCAUUUCUGCUGCCAAAAGAUUGUGGAUCAACUAGCACACAAUCACACACAAAGCUAAUAGAGAAGAAAAAUAACACGAGAAUUUAACGAAGUUUGACUAAGCCUAAUCCUCCAAAUAGAAGCAGAGAGUUUUCCACUAUGAAAGAGAAGAAGUGUACAACGCUAAUUAAUCCCCAACUACAACCCCUAUAUAGAGACCUCAAAUAGUCCAAACCUAUAAAAGAAAGGUUCUUCCAAUCCUACAAGAACAAUGUAUUUUACUUUCCCAAAUCUAUUAGGACAAUGAGUUUCCUAAUCAUACAAGGGAAAAAUUCAAGGCAUAAUUAAGAAAUAUUACCCUUGGCUUGAAUUCUCUUCAUCAACAUGAAUGUCUCUUUGCCUUGCCCUGAACCCUAAAACGGGAUCUACUGAGUACUGCACCAAUCAAAUCUAGGCAAUGCGUAAACUUGUUGACCGAGACUGCCUUGGUCAUCAUAUCCUCCAAAAUAUCAUGUGUAGACAGCUUCUUCACAUCAACAACCCCUUUGCAGCCUAUUACCUUUUGUUCCUUUGGCAAUGAACCAAGCUUCCAUGCUUGAUGAAGAGAAUAAUACCAACCCACUAAUCAACUUCAGAACUAAAAAUAACUUCUUUAAUGCUAUUAGGCUCAAACACAUCAAUUGUCUCUGCAACUGACAAGGCAAAUUUUACAAGAUUUGCAUAUCCAAGAAGAUUCCCAUCAAACUACAUUUGCACACCUUUUUGGUCGGUUGAUCACUCUCUUCUCUUCUCUUCGCCUGUUGUAAUGCUAUAUGAUUGUUGUUGCAUAGGUGAAUCGACAUUAUCUUGAUUAAGGUUUUUCACCUCCUUCACUUCUGAACUACUGGGCGGUCACUGAUCUGUUUUUGGUAUUGCCUUCUCUCUCUGACAGUCCAGUGAGGCAGAUUCAUUGAAUGUCAUAUCCCUACUAAUAAUUAACACUGCAGCCUUCUAAUCUGCGCACUACAACUUGUAACCUUUCACUCCAGUUGCAUACCCUAGAAAUAUGCACGUCUUUGCCCUCGGCUUAAGUUUGCCAUCCUUCACAUGAGCAUAAGUAGGACAAUCAAAUAUCCUCAAAUUUGAAUAAUCAGCAGGCAAAUUGGAUCAUAUAUCAAAAAGGGUUUUGAAUUCAAUAUCUAUGGAUGGAGAUCUGUUGAUUGAAUGACAAGCUUUAUUGACUGCUUCAGCCAAAAAAACCUUGCUAACAUAUGAGUGUGAAAUCAUGCUUCAUGCCUUGUCACUAAGUGUUAUGUUCAUACGUUCUGCAACAUCAUUUUUUUGUUGUGUUCCAUCACAAAAUUGGUGUCUCACUAUGCCCUCUCUGCUGCAUCAAUCAUUGAUGAGUUGCAAAUUUAAACCUAUUGUCUGUCUGAAGACACUUGACUUUUCUUUCAGUCUUCAUCCAGUGUUGUCAAAAGCAAAAAGAACAAAAAAAGCUUUAUGUUUAUUGUUGCUUUAAGUGCAAAAUGCAAAUAAAGUGUGGAAUUUAAAGAAAUAAGACAUUAAGGGAGAGAAAAAAAACAAAUUUGUAUAUAAGUAAUCGUCAAUCAAAGUCAUAAUAUUUGGCAAUACUCUUGGAGGGAACUCUGUUUGGAGCCCACAAGUCUCAAUGUAUAUAAUCUAAAUUUGUUUUUGGUCUUGUGUUCUGCCUUCUUGUUCAACUUCACCAUUGUUUGUUUACCAAAACACAAUUGUUUGCUUACCAAAACACACAAUGUAACAAAAAUUCAAAACUUGAUUUUUGUAUUCAUCCAACAAAUUCUGCUUGCUCAACAAAGACAAUCCUUUGUCACUUAUAUGACCAAAUCGCAAGUGUCACAAUUGAGACUGAUUCUGAUCACUCUUUUCAGAAGGUACAAUUGCUUUUGUAUCAACUACUCUAGCUUGAAGAUAAUAUAAUAUAGGAUGCAACUUACCCUUCAUAAGUACCAUGGGCCCUUUACACACUUUAAGUGUCCCAUUACUUGAGUGAAACUUAUACCCUCGAUCAUCCGAAGAAAGAGAAAACAAUUUUUUCUUCAUUCGAGGAACACACCAAACUCAUUAUUUUUAAUAAUUCCAUUAAUGCACAAUGACCUACACCUUUAUGAGAAGAUUUAAUAUGAAAAAUUCAUUAUCCUCGGUUCUUGUUUUAGGUCCCAGAACCCUAGUUAUGGAGUUUAGUUAUUCAUAACUUUAUGCAAAGAAUAGGAGAACUGUCUAACUAAAUAACACUAAGAUAAAGAGAAACAUUAUGAACCUUGAAUUAAAACUCAGUUCUUGCAAUUUUAGAGUACAUCAUUAGUGAUCUUACAAUAAUUCCAUUCACAAUUCUAGGAAAAAUGAUGAAAGAAUUGCAAGAUUCUACAAGAUAAUGCUAGUAAUAACUCUCCAAAAAUAGUUGAUGUUAAUUCCUAAUGAUAUCAUGAUAAUCAAAACCCUAGAAAAGAUCUAUUUAUAGACCAUGUGAGAAAUACAUGAGAAAAAUAUUAUUGAAUUGUGCUUUAUCAAAAAAAUAUUAUUGAAUUGUGUAUCUACAUUAUUACACAGAGACUCUAUUUAUAGAAACUACAAUAUAAUCAUUUACCAAGUAGGAUACUAUUUACUAUUCCUAUUCCUAUUACUACUCCUAUUCAUAUUCCUAUUCCUAUUUCUAUUCCCAUUCUAAGUAGGAUUGUAUAUACCUAUUCCUAUUCUAACACUCCCCCUCAAGCUAGUGCAUACAAGUCAUAUGUACCUAGCUUGUUACAAAUGGAAUUAAUACGAGGACCCAUGAGGGGCUUGGUGAGAUAUCUGCAAGUUGAUCACUUGACUUCACAAAAUUAAUAGCCAAUCUCAAUGGCUUAGUCUUCUCAUGAAAUGUUGGAUUUAAUGCAUAAUGCUAGUUAAUCUCAAUGUACCUGGUCUUCUCAUGAAAUAUUGAAUUUGAUACAUAAUGUCGAUAAAACACAGAGUGAUAAAAUUAUAAUGUUGCACUUCCCAAAUCAAGCUUGAGAAGACAAGAUUGUUUCAGACCAUAGAGUGACUACACAAUCGACAUACAAGGCUACUGGAUUCCUCCUAAACAACAAAAUUAGGUGCUUGCUCCAUAUAGACUUCUUCCUCGAGAUCACCGUGGAAAAAAACAUUCUUAAUGUCCAACUGAUUAAAAGAUCAGUGACGAAUGAUAACCAUAGAAAGGUUCUUCCAAUCCUACAAGGACAAUGUAUUUUUUCCCCCAAAUCUAUCAGGACAAUGGGUUUCGUAAACCAAUAGAGAUUAUAGUUUUUCUUAAUAUACAAGAGAAAAAUUCAAGAUAUAAUUAGCAACCUACUUAAUUGGACUUCUUUGUCUUCAAAUGGAAGGAAAUGGGCCAACGUAAUGAUGAUCCUAUGCCAUUGUAAUCUCCAUGUCGAAGAGCCAAAAAAGUUAUAUUUCAAGUACUUUUAGUAAUAGUAGUCUCAUCACAAAACAAACAACAAACCUGUAGCAGGGUAAGUUGAUCCAAUAUAGGUGAUAUAAGCUAACAUGAACUCGUUUUCUUCAGUAUAAUAUGUGGGAAGAUUUAUAUGCGAUGAACAACUCCACGAGUCUUGUCUUAAAAAUAAUUGUGCAACAACUAUGUUUAAUAACAAGCUAGUUAUCUAUGAAAAUUCUUUAUUACCACUUAAUUUAUACCUUCAUAAUAACAUUUUAUUUGAGCUACCAAGAUUUGUGAUAAGGAGAAUGUUCAAAGAUUCUUUGUUUUUAUCUCCGUGAGGUCAACUAUAAGAUAGACCAUUCAAGAAAGUUCUUUAGCUACUAGAAAAGUGUAGUGUGCUUCGUUGCACCUGAAAUAUCUGCGAGUAGGUCUAUAUUGUCUUCUCCGUGUGUCCUGUAGGCAGGGGUGAAUCUAGUAAAAUGGGAGUGGGUGCCAUGUUACGCGCACACCUCGGUUGGAAUUGUGUGUGUGUGUGUAUAUAUAUAUAUAUAUAUAUUCUGUCCACAGGGAAUGAGAACGAGCCCAGCCUGCUACACUUCUAUAGAACUAUUUUGUGUUUUACAUUGAAUAAGCUUACAGCUUUACGAGAGAUUAGUCCUCUUUUUUUCUUUUUCUAUUUUGCUUUUUAUUUUCUUUCUUUUUCUUUAUUUGUUGUUGAAUCUUUAUUCCAUAUGAGUUCCCUUUUUUUUUUGUAUAUUACUAAUUCUUUCUUCUGUUUUUUAAGUUCAUAGAGUUUAUUAAGUUUUUGCUUUGAGCAUCUAAAUAUGCAUUUAUAGUAACUUUUAGUUCUAGAUGUCCAUCCUUGUAAUGUUAUAAAUACAUAAUAUAAUUUUGUUGAUAUUUGUAAUAUUAUUGAAUUUCUAUGCUUUGUCCAAAAUUAUCACAACUAUCAAUUUUUUUUGUUCGAUCGACUUGCCUAUAUAAAUAAAAAAGACAGAUAAUCCGAACCAAAGCUCUAAAUAGAUCAAAUCAAAAAACAGUGUGACACCCAAAAUUUCAAAAUCCUGGAUCCGCCUCUGCAUAUAGGUUCAUGAGUUCAAGCUGUGGAAGCAACCACUAAUGCUUGCAUUUUGUUAGGCUGUCCACCUCACUCCCCUUGUGGUGUAGACCUUCCCCGGACCCUGCUAACGUGUGAUGUUUUGUGCACCGGACUGCUAUUUAUGUUGAUAUUUCUUGUUCACCAUUUAAAGAAAUGUAUGCAUAUGUGCCGUUCCCUGAAUACUUAGGUGUGGAGAGUUUUAAUUCUAUGAUUUGAGUUAUAUGACAUGGAGUAUCCGCAUGGUAAAAACAAAUGUUACUUUGGAAGAUUGACAAUAUUAGUAAUCCACAUCGUACUGUCAUCUUAGACCUUUUAAGCCUAACUUACAUGGUGGGAGAUUGAAAGGUUAAUCUUACGUCGUAUCCUCAGGAGGCUCUCUUAUAAAUAUAGUAUCUGAUUGCGUACUCAAGGAAGAUACACGAAAGGCUAUGAACGAGGGGAACUGUCGAACGGCUACAAUUGGAUGUUGGAAACCAAUCACUGGAAAGUAAGCUUUUUUAUUAUUUCCUUUUGUUUCCCUUUCAAGUUUUACUUUUCGACAGUAUUACAUGACUUGCAAGAUGUACUAGGAUAAGUCAGUUUAAGGCAAGUCUGCCGGUAGGAAUUUUUCAUGCAUAUUAUGUUUUUUUUCAUUAGUGUACUACGAUCUUUGCAUUAAUAUUUUAUCUUCUUCUGUUUACUGCUGAAUUUAUGGAUGACUUUUGGUAGUUUUUACAUUAAGUUUCUCGUGUAACUGGUUUCCCCUUGCGCUAUGAAUAUGCAGAUCUUCAAGUACAAGUCCCAAAUCAGUAAGUGAAAGGUGUCAUUUGCAGGAGAGAAAGAAAAAAAAGAAAAGGAAGAUCGAAAACCAAGAAAAGCAUCGUGACUCAAGUAUACAAUCUCAGUUGGAGAUGGAAAAUCGGAGCGCAGUUGCUAAUGCUAAGGAUAUCAAUGAGAGUGCCACAUCAUCACAGAUGCAUACAUUACCGGAUGGACUAACUGUUGAGGUGAUGGUGAAGGGAAAAGUGGAUGGGAAAGUAGCUUCUCCAGGAAAACAGGUGAUUCUAAUUGAAAAUUCAAAUAGAGAUGGUGCAAACGUCAUGCUGCUGAAUGAUCCUUUCUUUUGUCCAGAUCAAAAUUCAUUUCAUUGCCAAAUUAAGAGAUACAGGAUGCACUGUUGGCUCAACCAUUGGUGCAACUCCUCAUCAAUUUUGUCUAGGUCUCUCUCUCUCUACUCUUGCACACAAUCACUGCUCUGCUCCACCAUUAACUUAACUGAUUAUCCCUUUAUAUUCUUAUUUUGAUGUCAUUGAUCAGGUUACGAAAAAGUGUUAAAGGGAUUGAACAUUGGCAUUGAAGGUAAUCAUUUUCGUGGACUGAAACUAUUUUCUUUAUAUCUCAAGCAUUCUAUUAUGGGUGGCUAAGCU
rnacentral:lncRNA from 1 species